CUUCAAAAGUGGUUGAAAUUAAGGUAAGAGUAGUUGUUGUAAAAAUAAAUUUAUUUAUUACUUAUGUGCCAUAUAUAUCUCUUUGCGGUAAAUAUCUGAUGUGCCGAGACUUGAAUGUGCCAUCGUGCGCCGACCCCCUAAGAAUUCACCUUUCUCCAUCCUACGGUCACACAUCUGUCACACAAUUUACCUCUUGUUUGAACAACGUCGGGUAACGAUCUCGAGGCAAUCCGGCAUAUUUAGCGCAUCUAUUAUUCGACACACCUGAUGUGUGUCGUAUCUCUUUAUAUUAAUGCAUGAUCGAUCAUAAAGAGUUUGUUUUUUAUAAAUAGUGUUUCAUGUAUAGUUAACAUUUAUUUUGUUUUUUGUUUGUAGGGAAAUAAGAUAAGAAAACGCUUAAAAAAAAAUUGACCUCCAUUACUUGUAACGACGCCAGAUGCAAGUUAAUGAUGCAGACCUGCAUCCUCUUUGCAAAAAAAUAUUGAAAAAUAAUCCGAAUAAUGAUGAAAUCGAAAAGAAGAAAAAAAAUCGACUCAAACAUUGAAACAAUGUAUCAGAAUAAUUCGACUCAAACAUUGAAUUCAGAUGCUCUGGUGAAUCUCAAUGGGUCGUAUGAUCGAACCAUGCACGACUGAUGGUUCCUGGUGACAUUAAAACGGAGGAUAAAAGUAAUGAUGUUGGGAAGAUUAUAUCUAUUGGUUCUAGCUAGCACGACUAGAGAGAAAAAGGAAACCGAGAUAUUCGAAAAAAUGAUAUAUCAUCUAUGGCAUCAUCUAGAUCAAUCUCUGCACAGGUCUAUUUAAACAUUGCAUUUGUUCUAUUUUUUGCUUUUGUACAUUUGAUUUUUUUUGUAUUUACCAGGGAUCAUUUGGGCUUAAUAGAAUAUCUGGUUUUUAAGAGUAACCCAACUUUCAACACUUUUGGGCAUAGUUCUAUACAAAAUCAAGAAUAUGGAAACAACCAUCAAGGAAUAUAUAUCUAGCUUCUGUUGGAAUUGGGUCAAAUAGCAUUCCUCCUAAUGGAAAUAAAUUACUAUUCUUACCCUAACCCUAAACAUUCAUUAUAAAUUCUUGGUACUAUUAUAGCUAGAAAUCCACACUUGAUGUAUAAUCCCCUAGGGUUUCUUAUUCUACCCAUAAACUUCUACCCACAACUUGCAGUAUCACAAGAUCAUAACUAUAAUGAUUUUUAUGUAGGGGUAGUUAAAAUUUUAAUAGAUUAACCAAGUUAAAUAAGCUACCCAUAAAUCGGAUAACCCUAAUCCUAAAUUCGAGAGAUGACGAAGUGUAUAUGUGAACAAAUUGAAUUUUACUUUCUGAUAUGUCAUUUUUUAUUUAUGAUACAUUAUUUUUUUAAGCAUGUUCUUUGGUUUUCACAUAUUUUAUCUAUGUGUUUUUAUAGAGAUUUCAACUACCGAGAUGAUAAAUUUUUACACGGUCAUAUGGAUAAAGAAGGAUGGGUGCCGAUAACCGGAACUACGUUCAAAAUAUUUAUCUAACAAGUUAUAUUUUCUCAAUAUUUCUAAACAACAACUUAUAUAUGCUCCAAAUUUGAUUUACAGUUAAAAAUAAAAAAUGUCAUCGAUUUUUUAUUAUGUAUUUGUUGUAAAAGUAUUAUGUAUUUGUUGUAAAAGUAUGUAUCUUAAAUUUACAAGUAAAAGUAUUUGUUGUAAAAUUAAAUUUGUGAUAUGUUGUAAAAGUAUACAUUAUGUGAUUUGUUGUAAAAGUAACUCUUUAUAUUGAUAAUGAAAAUAUUUAUGAACUAAACAUAUAUAUAACCCUAACCCUAAAUCCUACUAAGUGUGGGUUAGAGUGUAUUAGUAUUUUUUUCUGACCUAACCUAAAUCUACUAAGUGUGGGUUAUAGUGUGUUAGUAAUUUUUUUCUGAUCUAACCCUAAAUCCUACUAUGUGUGGGUUAGAGUGUGUUAGUAUUUUUUCUGAUUUAACCAUAACCCUAAAUCCUACUGAGUGUGGGUUAUAUUGUGUUAGUAAUUUUUUUUAUCUAACCCUAACCAUAAAUCCUACUAAGUGUGGGUUAGACUGUGUUGGUAAUUUUUUUUCUGAUUUACCCCUCAUCAAAUUAAUUAAUAUACCAAUGUUAAUGUACUUAAUUGGUAACCCGUCACACUAUACCCUCUUCAGAUCUUCUUUUUUGAUCAUAUAUUACACUAAUAAACGGAUAAAAUUGAAUCAAUCACUCUCACAAUAUUUUUUUUUUAAUGGACGGUUCAGAUGUGUGGGCGCAUUUGAGCGCAUUCCGUACUGUGUUUAUAAGAAUUUUAUUCUAAUUGAUUAAGAGUUUAUACCUUUGUAUUUAUAAUUCAUUAGCACUAACUAACUAAAAAAAGCCGUAGCUUUUACUGGCCGUGUGUAAGCCCGUGGACGUAGCCCUGUUUUCUUGUAGUGCAUCAACUAAUUAGUCCAGUCCAGUGCCGGCCUUUUAUUCAAUUGGCCUAUUUACAAAUAAUUGAAACUUUUACAGUCUUUACCCCUAAGCUUUCUUGUUAUAACAUUCUUAUAUAUAAUUCCAUAUAGGUCUUGAAAUCAUAUUAAGAGAUUUAUUACAGAUUAUAAACAUGAUUUACAGGUCUUAUCUCUCUAAUUACUUAAUUUAGGUCCCACCAAGAUCACCCGUCAUAUAUUAUUCGGGUAUUUCAGCCAGAAAACCGAACUCCUGGUUCACCUAGAAGACUCGCAACUGACUCGAAUCCAAUCAAACACAGGCGAAGAUGCGAUUUAUUGGGAGACCACCGUCAAUUCUUCGCUUCACGACUAUCGGGACGUCGAUGGCGUGAUGAUCGCAUAUUCCGGUACAUCGACGAUCACCUUCUUCGGAUUCGGUGAGACCGGAGUUAAUCGAAUGGGGAUGACAAACAUACCUGAUGGAGGAUGAUGGUGUGUGGGCUUGCGCUACGGUGCUCACACACACAACUCUCUAGUCUCACUCUCUCUUAAUUUGAUUAUCGACCCCCUCUCUUGCUGUACUUGAGGAGAUAUUUAUAACAUAUUUCUUUAGGCCUGCUGGCAGUGGCGAAUGUAGGGGGGACUUGAGCCCCCCCCCCCCUCAAAAAAAUAAAAAUUUUCAUUUAGUACUCCACUUCUCCACAGUUUAAAAUAUAAUAAUAAAUAUUUAAUUUUUAUAAUAUAAUAAUAAUAUAAAAUAUUUUUAAAAUAUUACUAAAUACUUUACUUAUAAAUCAUUCUACGAUUAAUAAUUAAUUUAUUAUUAUAUUUACCCUAAUUUCUCAUAACUGUCCGUCUAUAUUUAGAGAUUUAAAAUUUCGUUUUUUUUCUCCUCCUCCUCCAUCUCCAUCCAUUUUUUUAUUUUUUUGACUCCACUCAUCUCCACAACUCCACACCUUCAUUCAUUUAAUUUUUAAACUUUUUUUCUCCACUUCACGAGAUAUCGUGACCAUAACUCCAUACAAAAAAUAAUAAUAAAGAUAAUUUUUAUCCACAUUCUUUAUUGUUAAAUUUGUUAUUAAUUUAGAUCGUUUUUACAUAGAUAAUCAAUGGAUAAAUUUAUGAUCAAAAAACCUACAAUAAAUCAACCAAUUUCAACUUCAUAAUUCAAUCCACAACCAUCUCGAGAGCCACUCGAUGAAAGUAAAUUAUCUUCCGAUUCGGGAUUGCGAAAGAAGAUAAAUGACUACCAUCCAAAUGAUCAAGAUCAAAUAAGAAGAUAUUAUUUGCAAAAAAAACCUUGUCAACCAUGCCAACAUGAAUUUCCAUUGAAAAGAAUUAAAAAUCAAUUUAGAAGAUUUUGUGUAUUGUGGUUUGACAAAUAUAAAUCAUAGAUUGAAUAUAACAUUUCAAAAGACGCCUUUUUCUAUUUAUUUUGUUAUUUAUUCCCGAAAACAAAUGGAAAAUGAAACUACUUUUACUUGUAAGUAAAAUUUGUUUGUUAAUUUCCUUAUAACUUAAUUGUUUUUUGUUAAUCAUUGAUGUUGUUUUUUCUUUUGGAUUGAUCAUGUUUUGUAGCUAAAGGUUUUUCUAAAUGGAAUAAACCAAAAUAUUUUGUUGUUUCCUUUAGUAUUUCGUUUAAAAUUAACACAUACAUUAUCAGUUGCGACUGCUUCAGUGGUAAGAUUUUUUUCAGCAAUGAAUCUUAUGAAAUUAAGUUGUCGCAAUCGUAUGAAUGAUGUUUGGUUGAAUGAUAUUUUAGUAAUAUAUGUUGAAAAAGAUUUAUUUUUUAGUGUUAGUAAUGAUGAUAUUAUGUAUCUGUACCAAAAUAUGACACCUCGUCGAGAACAAUUGGAUUGAAUUUUUUCGUCCUAGGGACCCUGGUACCAACAAAGGACGAGGAGGGAGGAUGGGUUUCAUUUUUCCCGCUAAAUCAUCAUGGCAUUUUCAUUAAUUUCAUUUAAUUAUAAAGAUAUUUUCGUCUAGAAAAUUAUAGGUGGGUAGUUUUGAUGGUUGGAUCACCUGCACACGCGUUAAAUUCACUACAAGAAAACAGGGAAACAGCCACGGCCAGCAGAAUCCGUGGCUAAAUGUUAGAAAUUAGCCACGGCUUUUUUAGCCGUGGCUAAGCCCGUGGCUAAUAUUUAUAUUUAGCCACGGAAUCAAAAAUCUGUGGCUAAUCCCGUGGCUAAUUUUCCCGGCAAAUUUCCCUCCAAUUUUUCAUUGAAUAUUUAGCCACGGCUCUUAAAAUCCGUGGCUAAAAUUUGCGGCAAAAUUUCCCUCCAAUUUCCACUGAAAUUUAGCCACGGAUUUAGCCACGGAUUUAGGAGCCGUGGCUAAUUUAGUGACAAAUAAAUUAGCCACGGAUAUUAGCCACGGCAUUUAGCCCUGGCUAAUAAUGAUAAUAGGGUUAGGGUUAAUGUAAAUGUAAAUAAUUAGGGUCAGGGUUAAUGUAAAUGUAAAUGUAAAUAAUUAGGGUUAGGGUCAGGGUUAAUGUAAAUCUAAAUAAUUAGGGUUAGGGUUAGGGUUAGGGUGAGGGUUAGGAUUAGGAUUAAUAGAAAUUAACAAAAAUUAGUAAAAAUAAGUAUAUAUACAUAUUUAGAUAGGGUUAGGGUUAGAAAUUAGGGUUAAAAGUAAGAGUUAGAAGUAGAAGUUAGGGUUAGGGUUAGAUUAUAGUUGUUUAGAUAUUAUAAAUUAUAAAAAAUUUAAAGUUAGAUUAUAAUUAGAUAAUUAUAAUAAUUUAAAUUAUAAAAAUUAUAAAUUGAAGUUAUUUUAGAUAUUUUAAAUUUUAAAGUUAAAAAAUAAAUUUAAACAAGGUAUUUUAAUUUUUAAUGUUACAAAUUCAAGUAUUAUAAAAGUUAUUUUAAAUUAUAAAAGUAGGUUAGGGUUANNNNNNNNNNNNNNNNNNNNNNNNNNNNNNNNNNNNNNNNNNNNNNNNNNNNNNNNNNNNNNNNNNNNNNNNNNNNNNNNNNNNNNNNNNNNNNNNNNNNNNNNNNNNNNNNNNNNNNNNNNNNNNNNNNNNNNNNNNNNNNNNNNNNNNNNNNNNNNNNNNNNNNNNNNNNNNNNNNNNNNNNNNNNNNNNNNNNNNNNNNNNNNNNNNNNNNNNNNNNNNNNNNNNNNNNNNNNNNNNNNNNNNNNNNNNNNNNNNNNNNNNNNNNNNNNNNNNNNNNNNNNNNNNNNNNNNNNNNNNNNNNNNNNNNNNNNNNNNNNNNNNNNNNNNNNNNNNNNNNNNNNNNNNNNNNNNNNNNNNNNNNNNNNNNNNNNNNNNNNNNNNNNNNNNNNNNNNNNNNNNNNNNNNNNNNNNNNNNNNNNNNNNNNNNNNNNNNNNNNNNNNNNNNNNNNNNNNNNNNNNNNNNNNNNNNNNNNNNNNNNNNNNNNNNNNNNNNNNNNNNNNNNNNNNNNNNNNNNNNNNNNNNNNNNNNNNNNNNNNNNNNNNNNNNNNNNNNNNNNNNNNNNNNNNNNNNNNNNNNNNNNNNNNNNNNNNNNNNNNNNNNNNNNNNNNNNNNNNNNNNNNNNNNNNNNNNNNNNNNNNNNNNNNNNNNNNNNNNNNNNNNNNNNNNNNNNNNNNNNNNNNNNNNNNNNNNNNNNNNNNNNNNNNNNNNNNNNNNNNNNNNNNNNNNNNNNNNNNNNNNNNNNNNNNNNNNNNNNNNNNNNNNNNNNNNNNNNNNNNNNNNNNNNNNNNNNNNNNNNNNNNNNNNNNNNNNNNNNNNNNNNNNNNNNNNNNNNNNNNNNNNNNNNNNNNNNNNNNNNNNNNNNNNNNNNNNNNNNNNNNNNNNNNNNNNNNNNNNNNNNNNNNNNNNNNNNNNNNNNNNNNNNNNNNNNNNNNNNNNNNNNNNNNNNNNNNNNNNNNNNNNNNNNNNNNNNNNNNNNNNNNNNNNNNNNNNNNNNNNNNNNNNNNNNNNNNNNNNNNNNNNNNNNNNNNNNNNNNNNNNNNNNNNNNNNNNNNNNNNNNNNNNNNNNNNNNNNNNNNNNNNNNNNNNNNNNNNNNNNNNNNNNNNNNNNNNNNNNNNNNNNNNNNNNNNNNNNNNNNNNNNNNNNNNNNNNNNNNNNNNNNNNNNNNNNNNNNNNNNNNNNNNNNNNNNNNNNNNNNNNNNNNNNNNNNNNNNNNNNNNNNNNNNNNNNNNNNNNNNNNNNNNNNNNNNNNNNNNNNNNNNNNNNNNNNNNNNNNNNNNNNNNNNNNNNNNNNNNNNNNNNNNNNNNNNNNNNNNNNNNNNNNNNNNNNNNNNNNNNNNNNNNNNNNNNNNNNNNNNNNNNNNNNNNNNNNNNNNNNNNNNNNNNNNNNNNNNNNNNNNNNNNNNNNNNNNNNNNNNNNNNNNNNNNNNNNNNNNNNNNNNNNNNNNNNNNNNNNNNNNNNNNNNNNNNNNNNNNNNNNNNNNNNNNNNNNNNNNNNNNNNNNNNNNNNNNNNNNNNNNNNNNNNNNNNNNNNNNNNNNNNNNNNNNNNNNNNNNNNNNNNNNNNNNNNNNNNNNNNNNNNNNNNNNNNNNNNNNNNNNNNNNNNNNNNNNNNNNNNNNNNNNNNNNNNNNNNNNNNNNNNNNNNNNNNNNNNNNNNNNNNNNNNNNNNNNNNNNNNNNNNNNNNNNNNNNNNNNNNNNNNNNNNNNNNNNNNNNNNNNNNNNNNNNNNNNNNNNNNNNNNNNNNNNNNNNNNNNNNNNNNNNNNNNNNNNNNNNNNNNNNNNNNNNNNNNNNNNNNNNNNNNNNNNNNNNNNNNNNNNNNNNNNNNNNNNNNNNNNNNNNNNNNNNNNNNNNNNNNNNNNNNNNNNNNNNNNNNNNNNNNNNNNNNNNNNNNNNNNNNNNNNNNNNNNNNNNNNNNNNNNNNNNNNNNNNNNNNNNNNNNNNNNNNNNNNNNNNNNNNNNNNNNNNNNNNNNNNNNNNNNNNNNNNNNNNNNNNNNNNNNNNNNNNNNNNNNNNNNNNNNNNNNNNNNNNNNNNNNNNNNNNNNNNNNNNNNNNNNNNNNNNNNNNNNNNNNNNNNNNNNNNNNNNNNNNNNNNNNNNNNNNNNNNNNNNNNNNNNNNNNNNNNNNNNNNNNNNNNNNNNNNNNNNNNNNNNNNNNNNNNNNNNNNNNNNNNNNNNNNNNNNNNNNNNNNNNNNNNNNNNNNNNNNNNNNNNNNNNNNNNNNNNNNNNNNNNNNNNNNNNNNNNNNNNNNNAGAACCAAGUUCUAGCCGAAGCGAUAGAACUAAUGUUUAUAGUCCACUCUGAUCAAGAGCGACUUAAAGUCCGCAACGACGGCCCCCUUCAAGGCUAUUUAGCGACAAGAUGGGUUGAAAAUCGUUAAGGCCAAAGCGGCAGAACGAUCUCUAGUGUAUCAAGGCAGAAUGCGACAAGAUACGUGGACUCAUUAUUAGAGUCUUAUUCUGGCCAAAGCGACAGAAUAAUACCUGCAAAAAAGAAAACAUCCUGCAAAACAACAAGAGAAAACAUCCUGCAAAACAACUAGAUCAGUCUGAAAACGCAUAUGAUUAUUGACCGAAAAUACCUCUUGCGAUACUUUUUUCCUUACUUUAGCCAAUCCUCGGUGAAUCUGGCCGAAGCGACAGACUGACCNNNNNNNNNNNNNNNNNNNNNNNNNNNNNNNNNNNNNNNNNNNNNNNNNNNNNNNNNNNNNNNNNNNNNNNNNNNNNNNNNNNNNNNNNNNNNNNNNNNNNNNNNNNNNNNNNNNNNNNNNNNNNNNNNNNNNNNNNNNNNNNNNNNNNNNNNNNNNNNNNNNNNNNNNNNNNNNNNNNNNNNNNNNNNNNNNNNNNNNNNNNNNNNNNNNNNNNNNNNNNNNNNNNNNNNNNNNNNNNNNNNNNNNNNNNNNNNNNNNNNNNNNNNNNNNNNNNNNNNNNNNNNNNNNNNNNNNGGGAGAGUUUGUGAUAGGGGGAGUAUCACAAGCUCUCCCGACAUUUCUGUCGCUCCGGCCAGAAAUCGUCAUAUUUUAAGGGGGAAUAUCACAACUCCCUUCAGGAAAACUCUAAGUUUCUCACAAAAAAUACCUCUAAUGCUAAGUCGGCGAGUUAACACCUUAAGUCGCCGACUUAGGGUAUCAUACAGUAUCUUAGGGGGAGAUUGUCAAAUUCAGGGGGGAGUAUCACAAACUCUCUCGACUUUUCUGUCGCUCCGGCCGGAAAUUGUCAAAACUCAGGAGGGAGUAUCACAAACUCUCUCGACUUUUCUGUCGCUCCGGCCGGAAAUUGUCAAAACUCAGGAGGGAGUAUCACAAACUCUCUCGACUUUUCUGUCGCUCCGGCCGGAAAUUGUCAACAUUCGGGGGGGAGUAUCACAAGCUCUCCCGGCAUUUCUAUCGCUUUGGCUAAAGAUCGNNNNNNNNNNNNNNNNNNNNNNNNNNNNNNNNNNNNNNNNNNNNNNNNNNNNNNNNNNNNNNNNNNNNNNNNNNNNNNNNNNNNNNNNNNNNNNNNNNNNGAGAGUAUCACAAGCUCUCCCGACAUUUCUAUCGCUUUGGCUAGAGAUUGUCAACACUCAGGGGGGAGUAUCACAAGCUCUCCCGACACUUCUGUCGCUCUGGCCAGAAGUCGUCAUACAUAAACACGGUCAGUCUGUCGCUUCGGCCAGAUUCACCGAGGAUUGGCUAAAGUAAGGAAAAAAGUAUCGCAAGAGGUAUUUUCGGUCAAUAAUCAUAUGCGUUUUCAGACUGAUCUAGUUGUUUUGCAGGAUGUUUUCUCUUGUUGUUUUGCAGGAUGUUUUCUCUUGUUGUUUUGCAGGAUGUUUUCUUUUUUGCAGGUAUUAUUCUGUCGCUUUGGCCAGAAUAAGACUCUAAUAAUGAGUCCACGUAUCUUGUCGCAUUCUGCCUUGAUACACUAGUGUCGCUUUGGCCUUAACGAUUCUCAACCCAUCUUGUCGCUAAAUAGCCUUGAAGGGGGCCGUCGUUGCGGACUUUAAGUCGCUCUUGAUCAGAGUGGACUAUAAACAUUAGUUCUAUCGCUUCGGCUAAAGCUUGUGAUACUCCCCCCUGAAUUUUGACAAUUUCCAGCCGGAGCGACAGAAAAGUCGAGAGAGUUUGUGAUGCUCCCGCCUGAGGUUGUGGAAGGGGGCUUGUCAUUUUCCCCCUAAGAUACUGUAUGAUACCCUAAGUCGGCGACUUAAGGUGUUAACUCGCCGACUUAGCAUUGGAGGUAUUUCUUGUGAGAAACUUAGAGGUUUCUUGAAGGGAGUUGUGAUAUUCCCCCUUAAAAUAUGACGAUUUCUGGCCGGAGCGACAGAAAUGUCGGAAGAGCUUGUGAUACUCCCCCUUGAAAUUUGACGACUUCUAGCCAAAACGACAGAAGUGUUGAUGAGAGUUUAUGAUACUCUCCUCCAAAGAUGGGCGAGACGGCUUCCGGCUAGAGUGACAGAAGCGUCGGAGAGAGCUUGUGAUACUCCCCUUGAAAUCGUGCCGUUGUGACAGAUUGUAGAGUUAUGCUUUAGAUGUUUGUGCCCGAGGCGAUAGAAUUAUUGAGGAGAGCUUGUGAUACUCCCCUCGAAAAUCAUGUCCACUUGACAACUUUUAAAAUAUUGGUGUAACGAAGGUAUUGGAGGGAGCUUAUGAUACUCCCCCCGAGAAUCAUGUCGUCGUGACAUAUGAAUUUUUGAAAUAUUUUGCAAUCUUUCUAUUUUGAUUAUCAGUGGACUACCUUUUGUCUUUUCUUUGCCAAUCUUCCAUAUAAACCACCUUUAAAUUGUAACCUAGGCUCGAAACUAGAUUCAUAAGCCGUAACUUAGCCACUCUGGACGUAAGUUAGACUCUGCUAACCCUCGCUUAGCCACUUUGGACGUAAGCUUGGUCGUACGAAUCGUAAUUCAGUCGUCAGUUAAAUUAGCGGAUAAUUUAUAUCUCCGAAUUGACGCAGAGUUGCAAAGAAUAGUACCGAUAAACCAAAAAUUAAGAUGCACAAUAUUAUUUGGAAUCGUAGGGUUGGAUCCGCAAUUUAGGACUACAAUUCUAGAUUUGAACCCCGGUGUUUUAGCCAAGCUCCAGCCAUAGCGAUAGAGUGACUCUCGAUCCUCAUCAAGGCCAUGGCGACAAGAUAGGAUAUGAUCAUCAAGGCCACAACGACAAAAUUAACACCAGGGUACCAUUAAUUGUAGUCGCAAAUAUUUAGAAUCUCAUGGUUUGAUUCGUAAAUUGGAGUUGUAAUUUAGAUUCUUAAGUCGCACCUUGGACUUGUAAAUCGUAAACUUGAAAUCGUAAUUUAGACUCUUUGUCGUAAAUUAGAUUUUGUAAUCAUCACUUAGACUCGUGGGUCGUAAGCUAGAUCUGAGUAACGGGUGUCAUCCGGCCAAAGCGACGGAUUGAUCCCUAUGAAAUUAUCCCUUGUAGGUUUGAUGUAUUAAUCCUAGAACCGUAGCGUAGGCUUGAAACUGGAGUCGCAAAUCGUAAUUUAGACUCUUUGUCAUAAAUUAGAUUUUGAAAGAGAACUUAGAUUCAUAAAUAUUUGGAAUCUUAGGGUUUGAUUCGCAAAUAUUUGCGAGAGUCGUAACUUAGAUUCUUAAGUCGCAUUUUGACUCGUAAAUCGUAAACUAGACUUGUAAUCAUAAUUUAGACUCUUUGUCGUAAAUUAGAUUUCGUAACUAUCACCUUGACUCGUGGGUCGAACAGAUGAUAGAUAAUGUCGAAGCGACGGAUGUCACCCAGCCGAAGCGAUGGGUGAUUGAUCCGUCUGAAGUGAUGAAUGAUUAUUCUAAAUGUUGCAUACAUAUCGCAGAAUAAAAUUGUUGUUAGAUUGCGACAACUAAUAGAACAAUAGAAACGACAACCAAAAGAAUAGAUGAGUUCUUUUGAUGUUUGGUUGCCACUGACGGAUGCAUAGCCUGUUUAGUUACUCUAGCCUAUCUUUGACAGAUGGUAGUUACCCACUAAUAGCGUGACACGCUUGAUUGUGAACUGUGGCUUUGGUUGCCAUCAAUGUCAUAGGAUUGAGAGCGUAAGCUAUGGCUUUGGUGGCCAUAACUUUUAUCAGACUGAGAGUGUGAGUUAUGACUUUGGUGGCCAUAACUGUUACCAGACUGAGAGUGUGAGUUAUGACUUUGGUGGCCAUAACUGUUAGCAGACUGAGAGUGUGAGUUAUGACUUUGGUGGCCAUAACUGGUUCUGGAUUUAGGGUGUGAGCUAUGACUCUGGUGGUCAUAACUGCUACCCGGAGACUCCUCGCUGUAUCGAAGAAGAGUAGUCGAGGUUUCGGAUUGGGAACUUGUAUCCUCGUAUGCCUCUUCUUUAGCAUAGCGAGGUUUCUUCCGGCUGGACGGCUCGAGUUUGUCCAGCUUGUCAUUGUUCUCCUCUUCUAUCUCAAUAUACGAUUGAGCUCGUUGGAAGAGGUCCGGCAGGGUCUCCACUUUAUGGAGUAUCAGAUUCCGGGCCAAAGGGGAGAAGGGUACCAACCCUCUCACGUAUCCUGCUAUGGCCAGACUAGGGAUUAGAUUGUUUACUUCUGUCAUCAUCGAAGUGAACUUAAUCGUGUAAUCCCUCAGAGACAGCUUGUUUUGUCGUAGUGCCAGUAGUGCGUUGGCACUGUGUUUUAUUCUGAUCAUCCCCACAUGUUGGGCGAUGAACUUGGAAGAGAGGUCCGUGAAGCUGGAGACUGAGCCAGCCGGCAGACCGGAAAACCACCGAUAUGCGUUGCCUUUCAGAGUGCCUGGGAAGGCCCAACACAGCAACCCGUUAUCGGUAGUUUGCGGCUCCAAGAUAUUCAGAUAGAGGUUAACAUGAUCCUCAGGAUCUGUCGUUCCAUCGUACAAGUCUAUCUUGGGACACCGCCAAGAUUGCGGAAAAGGUUUUCUCAGGAGGUCCCUAUGAAAGGGUGCCCUUCCUAUUCUAAGAAGAUCAUGUGGGUCCCUUAGGUCAUGCUUGUCUUUACGAAGCAUUUCCUUGAUUACCCUAUUCAUGAGUGUGGCAUCGUAAUCCGCACGAGUCGUGGAACUCUAAGGUACACCUGAGUGAUGUACUGCGGACAUGUGGUGAGAACCGAGAUGCUUGUGUCUCUUUGUUUCACCAUGGUUGUCUCCCAUAGGAGAGUGAUGCGAGUUGGAUUUGGGUUGCCCUGAAAUUGCAGGACUCUUUCCCUUGAGCUCUCGAAGCUCCUUGGAUAUCCUUGAUUCAGACCAAUGACACGUACUUAAGUUUGUCUUCCGAUCCUCAAAUGUGGGUUAGACUUUCUUGUCGUACAUCGUAUGGUGGUCCGGCUCCUUGAAGCCUCUAGGUUGGUUAUCCUUUUGUCCAACUUCAACAUGAGAGCAUGCAUGUGCGCAAGCCUUUCCUGUGUUGUCGGAGUUGGGUUCACACCCCCAUUCAGUGUGAGUGGUGAGGACACCUCAUGUGUAGAAGCUCCUACCUCAGUAGCAGUGGCGAUAGCUUUCUUUUUAUGAUCCUUAGUAAAAGGAGCCAUAAAUGGGAUGGUUGCUUCUAUCGGGUCGAAGCAACAGACCACGAGUGGAAGUUCUUCCGAAGUGCCGGAAACUAUGGGUAGGUACCUGCCCCCUGGGUGUCACAAAACAGAAAAAAUUUCGUAUAAUAUUUCUUUGCAGUUUUUUGACCCCCUUGAGCAGUGCUACUAGUCCUCAAAGUUUGAAAUUAGCAAAAAAUGUCGUAAAUUUUUUGCAAUUUUUUUUUGCAGAAAAUCGUGCCGCCGGAGGUGGUUUUCGGGAUGCCUGUUUAGACCUAUCCCAGAAAAGAUUCCUUGCACUGUUGGGAAAUUCUGCUCUUUGGUACUCGUAGAGAAAACUUUUCUCACGUGAUAUGUGGUCUCAGAAUCCCAAAAUCAGAUCUGGGUAUUCCGGAGGUGGACCAACGAAAUCACUGGAGGUGAAAAAAGGUAAAAAACCCCAUACUCUUUUUUUUUCUUUUUUUUUUUUACCAAAACGACGAGGCGAAUCCGACCGUGGCGAUGGAUUUUCGUUUCGGUAAAAGAGCUGGGCUAUAAGUGGUCUUAUUCAGCCAAAGAGAUGAAUGAAGACGAUGAUCGAAUGGGCGAGUUUGCCCCAAGAUAGGCGAGUUUGCCCCUUGAUAGGCGAGUUUGCCCAAGAUAGACGAGUUUGCCCAAGAUAGGCGAUUUUUGCUUGGAAAAAAUCGAACCUAUGCGAAGACGCAAGUUCCAGAGCAAAGGAUGACUUGACCAAGCUUGUUCAAAAAACAAAGAAAUAAGUCGGUGAGUUAGGGGAAAACUCGGCGACUUUAGAUUUCGAGGUGUUUUUCGAACAAAGUCGUGGACAGCACUCUUAGCUAGAAGACGAUAUUCCGGAUCGGGCGAUUCUCAAGGAUAAGUCGGCGAUUUAUGGCUAAAUCGGACCUUAACCGAGAAUCGGACGAUCUAAGUCGGCGAUUUUUUGACAAACUCGGCAAACUCUUGGGAGAGCUCGAACCGGAUUUUAAAAAAAUCGCGAUUACGACGGGAUACCGGUGGUUCGGUAGUCCCACAGACGGCGCCAGCUGAUGAAGCACUGAAUCUGCUACCAGGGCUCGCGGUGGUGCGAGGUUGAUGCCGGAGGCUUUGGAGUCAACGACGCACGCUCUACGUCAAAUACCUGCAAGUGAAACUAGGCGAUUCUAAUGAGACUCGCCGAAUUUCGUAGUGUAGUGCUCUGGUGUGAGAGUGGAAAUUGAAUCGUGCCUUUGAGUGUCCCCUUGGGACCCCUUUUAUAGGGUCUCGGAGGGCGCACUCAUCGGCGGAGAUAGCGUCUAUGGUCAUAUAUNNNNNNNNNNNNNNNNNNNNNNNNNNNNNNNNNNNNNNNNNNNNNNNNNNNNNNNNNNNNNNNNNNNNNNNNNNNNNNNNNNNNNNNNNNNNNNNNNNNNNNNNGUCUACCAUACUGCCGAUCUUGCCUUAACUCGGCGAGUUAUCCUGUAUGUCGGCGACUUGGUAGUCCAAUCGGGCGACUUUACGGGCUAACUCGGCGAUCUGGACGAAGAACGAUGUUCCGCACCGUGGGAGCUCUCCGGGGGUCCUGCCAUAGCGACGGAGCCCUAGUCCUUGUUGAGAGGCGUUGAUGGGUAGUGACUGGUGUAAUCAGCCAUGUCUCACCAUACGUCGUAUGUUACAUUAUCCUCGAGUUGUACUCAUUACUUAUUUUAUGUUGUAUUGACGCCUUUGGCGCAUGUACGUCAUGACGCACCUGAAACCUGCCCGAUAUAUAUAUUAUGAAUUUACUGAAUGUAAAUGAUAUGAAGAUCCAAAAUAUAUUUCAAACUAUUAAAGAUAAGAAAUACAAUACAGAUAUUCGGGCAGAAAUGAUUCAAAACAGAUUGAAAAUUCACAGAUGUAUGAUUUUUGAGAUUGACAAUCAGAUGAUGAUAAAUUCUAGGAUAAAGAUUAUCGAUUGGAGAGAAUAAUGAACGGCAAGAAGAUGGACGAAUAUGUUUAGAUUUGUAAAUCAAAUCUUAACAUAUGGAAUAUGGAUUAAUCAUUGUGAUUAUUUAUAAUCAUGUGUGCAACGGUUAUAAUUGUGAUAUAAUUAGUAUAAUUAUGAUAUAACUUCUAUAAUUGUGAUAUAAUUGCUAUAACACAAAUGAAUGAUGUAGACAGUCUUCUUUGCUAAAAAAAAUCAACAAAUGCAAGAAAACCAUUGGAACUUCGUUGUCCUUCUUCGAGGAAUGGAACUCAAAGAAGAAAAUCAGAAUCUAGAAAUUCAGAUAUGAUGUUGAAUUCAAGAAUCUAUCAUGAACAACUCAAGAUCUUUUGAGUCAAAAGUGUGUUUUAAAUUCUAAGAAUUAUGUUUUCAUUUUAAAUUCUAGAUAUGAUUGCAUUUAUGAAUUCUUACUGACUAACCAAAUUAGCCUAAUUAAUCAUAGUUAAUUAGGUAAUUAAGUAAUUGGUAGUGGGUAAUUACUCUAUCAUUCUUUUAACAAGAUGGAUUUGAGAUCUUCAUUCUUUCAACACACACAAUAUAAUGGAUUUGUCUGAUAAGAUGAUCGGAAUUCACGUCAGGUUCACCAAUGUUGAAAAGUUUCCAACUCAAUUGUCUCUCCCCUCUUCUAAACCCUACUUCAUAAGUAUUUAUAGCUCCCCUCAUGCUUCUGGCCUUGGGCCUCAACGUAUUUGGGCCUUGGGACCGAACCUAUUCUUCUAGGGUCGAAUGAAAGCCCAAGAUCGAAUUCUAAGGUUUUGGUAGAUGGUAUACUGAAAUUCGUAUCCGCUUUCGAAUUCGAAUGUUUAUUCGAAUUCGGAGACCAAAAAUGAUGUUGAAAAAUUAUCCAGACGGAUUCGGAUAUUUUCAAUACCCGUCGUUAAAAUUUUUAUUGGUUGAUAAUUUCGGAUACGAAUAUCCGAAUUUUUAUACUUUUAAAAUUUAAUUUAGAAUUUCUUAAGGUUGGAUUUUUCAAAAAUUUAUCCGAAUUCAAAAUCGAAAAUUAUCGAGACGGAUUCGGAUUAUUAAAUCCGUCCGAUAUACAGACCUUGAUAUUCGAUAAGCAAUCACUAUGCUUCGUCAAACAUAUAAUAUCAAGGAAGUUGGUGAGGAUUUAUACUUGUUGUGAUUAAUCAUAGAAAACUCUCAACUCUCAAGUAAUAAUACUUUGUGUUUGUUUUAAUGUGGUUUUAUUAAAUGAUAUGAAGAUUUCAUUUUCUACAAUAAAAACACUUGAUGGAUGUAGAUCAAAUGAGUUUUGUAAAAAAAAAAUAGUUUAGGCAGAAAAAAGACAUGCUAUUUAUAAUUAUUAAAGAAGAAGAGCAACAAAACAUAAAACAUAAAUCUCCAUUCACCCACCAUCAGGAAGAAAAUUAUUAUAGCAUUCUGUAAUCUACUUCUUGCCAACAUUAAAAACCCACCUACAGGGAAAAACUAAUUAAUCAAAUAUUCGAAGCACAAAUUACAGGUCAGGUCGGACAGCCAAAAUCGAUGGCAAAAAACCGCCACACUGAAUAAAUAAAAUAAACUCUGAGACAAGCUUUUGGAGCCUAUUAAUUGCCUAAGAAUGAGAGAAGAGUUUGUAAAUUAGGAAAGCCACACCUUCUUGAUUUUGAUUCAUAGCUUCAUAUGUAUUUACAGUGACGGCUUUCCAUGACAGAUCAUAGUUAUCAAUCAACUUAUCAUUAUCAGUGACCCGCAAGUCUUGGACCUGUAUACAAAUCGCCAUUUACAACAAAGUCUUCUGGCUUUCCCUUGGCCUCUAACCACGCAUACUCCUCGCCAUCUGACACCACCGAUUCAUUCGCCUCAUCUGAGAUGACCAAGAUUGAAUUUGAGGUUUGGUUAAUAUCAAAUUUUAAAUGAAACAAUAUUAAACAUUUGAACGUACAUACCAGAAAAGUUUUCGUAUGGGAAAACAUUGUAAUAUGUACAGUGUCUGCCUUCGGAGUCAGAGUAAGGUGGGCCAAGGACAUCGAGCACGACACAAGCUGUCACUGCAGUAAAGCAAUGAAUGUUGCCACCAGUAGUUGGAUACAAUAUGGAAGCACCACAUGAAGAUGUGAAAUUAGCAUCAGUUUUUGCCUUCGCCAACCUCACUUCGGGGGUUUGACCUACGACUGUGCAUAUGCAUGCCCACACAAUCACAAAAUAUAAGAAAGGAAAAAAUUAGAUUAUCGAAUCAAUUUUACAAUGGAUAUCUUACGAUGCGUGAGGUUGGGAUCAGCAGUGACAUUGCUAGAUUCAUCAGGAACAUCAACCCAAUCAUAUGACUUGAUAUGCAUGGUACCAUAUAAUAUCUUACUCAAGACUGUCAUUCCAGGAUGAUUGUGAAGAGGAAUAGCACUUGAAGGAGGCAGGCAGAAAAUACCAAUCUAUAUAACAAAAAAAGUAAUUAAAAGCUUAACAAAUUAACAAGAAAUAAUAUACAAAUCUGGAGAAAAGUGUUUCGAUGAUCAACCAUGAAGAAGGGAGGAAAAAAGGAUACAAAAAAAUAAAUUACCGAGAAUUUGCUACACUCGUAGACAUGCAAGUACGUAAUUGGACUCUUUCCAUUUGGCACACUGGCUUGCUUGAAAUAAGGCAUUUGGGGGGACAAAUUAAGAUCUGCCAGCUUCAUUCUAUCUGCAGUUCAAAUACACAUAUAGAUGCAUAUGUAAGUAAUUAGAAGAGCAUUGAAAUUUUGAUCAUCUGUAAAAAGAAACACCAACAAUGACAAAAGAAAAUCAGAUUUGAAAACAAAGCAUAAAAUGGCAAUGGCACAAAAUUUGGUAAUCAUCCCAUCUUUUUCUUCAUGUAGGAAACCCCUCCUACCAAAGCUCAUAACCAAACUAUCAAACCACAAGAACCCAUGAAGCCAGGGGUAAACAACCUCAAUGGUUUAACCUACCUACCACUUGACCAAGUUUCCCAUCUUUCCUUUAUGUAGAAAACCCCUCCAACCAAAGCUCAUAACCAAACUAUCAAACCACAAGAACCCAUGAAGCCAAGGGAAAACAACCUCAAUGGUUUAACACUUUAACCUACCUACCACUUGACCAAGUUUCCUAUCUUUUCUUCAUGUAGGAAACCCCUCCUACCAAAGCUCAUAACCAAACUAUCAAACCACAAGGACCCAUGAGGCCAGGGGCAAACAACUUCAAUGGUUUAACCUACCUACCACUUGACCAAAUUUCCCAUCUUUUCUUCACGUAGGCAACCCCUCCUACCAAAACUCAUAACCAAACUAUCAAACCACAAGAACCCAUGAAGCCAGAGGCAAACAACCUCAAAGGUUUAACCUACCUACGACUUGACCAAGUUGGUAUGGUUUGGGAAUCUUAAAAAGUUAAAAUAGACUCUUCAUCUUAGAAUCUGCUAAUUGACAAAAGCAAAACUCACAAACACCUAGACUGAUGGAUCGAUGCAACACAAAUCCUAUCUACAACUUAACCAAGUUGGCGUGGUUUGGGAAUCUUAAAAUAGACCCUCAUCUUAGAAUCGGCUAAAUGACAAAAGCAAAACUCAAAAACACCAAAACUGACGGACUGAUGCAUCAAUAUUAACAAGUACAUAUAUAAUUUUAUAUCCUUAGUUCGUUACAUCGUUACAGUAACUCUGAACUGUGAAGUAGUAGUUAGAGUUAGAUUAAAAUUUGUUACAGAGAAAAACAUAACCACAUACCUAAAAUAGAUUUGAUCCUGUCCAGAUCCUCCUGCGACGGAACGAUGCCAGGAUUGCUAGUAGAGAACACAUCCUUGCACGCCCUGAACAGCCUCAUCACCGUAUUCGGCAUCUGAGAUGACGAAGAUGAUUUCUUCUGCCGUCUUCUCUUUUUCUUCGACACCGGUUGACUGGAAGUUUCUGUUAACAACAACUCCUCAGUUUUCCCCUCCAACAACGCCUUCUCCACCCUCAUCAAACCAAACCUACUCCCACACCGUCUGAUCCGCUUUCCCUACCACCACGCCUCUCCUCGGAGGAAAAAACCGAUUUCGAAAAGAUGGUGAGUGCGAGACUGUCUAUUCCGACUAGCGAGGAUUGUACAGAUAGGAAAAAGUUUGAACCCAAUAAUACCAUUUUUUUAGAGCGAGGUGGCAGUCGGUACAAGUCUGAAGAGGAACGAAAACCAGGGGCUGAGAAUGGUUUUCGUCCUUGUCGGCUCUGUUUUUUUUUAGGGACGUUUUUUUUGCAUUCUCACCCUAUAUUUACUAUUUAUUUUUAUUUUUUCCCUUCUUCACUCUAAUGACAAUCAUUAUCAAAAAAAAUUGUCUAUUUAUUAAAAAGAAUCGUUAAACUUGCAACUACCUCAAGUUUUUUAAUGUAAACUUAGCACCUAAAAGUUUUUCAGGAAACUCUAUAAAAUCAACUUAGAGCUUUAUAGUUUAACUCAACCACUAUAAAAAACCAGCAUAGUUCUGACGAACGACCACAUUUAAUAAAUUCAAUUUCACUCCCCCCAUAAAACUCGGAAUUUCAACUUUUUUUUUCUAGGAAGUCAAUGGAAGCUCAGAUAAAUGAUCAGACGACCGCGGACCGCGAUCGACGUCACGCCUUUACUAGAGUAGGCGAAAACAAUAGAAAAAUCUAAGGAGUAAGUUAUAAUUUAUUAAAAAGAAAAACAAAAUCAAUAAGUUUAUCGUUUUGGUCGGGUCGUGAUAAUACAAAUACUAAAAAUGGAUAAAAAUUCAUGGAUCUCUUGAUUUGGAAAAUACCAUAUUAAAACCAUUUAAACUAUAAAAAUACUCAAACACCCUCGUAAAUUGGAUAAGGAAAGGGAAAAAAAAGAUCCACUUGAUUUUCAGUGCCCCCACUAAACCACUAACCACCCACUAGUCAAAAUUCAAAGGUGACUAAAUUCAUAAUAAUAUCAUAUUAGUGUCGUAAGUUUUGACAAGAUUAAUAAUAAUAUCGGUUUAGUAUUUGAUUCUAAAAAUACUAAACUUCUUAAAUAAUAAUAGAGGUAAAAUAAUAUUUUUAUAUAAAACCUCUUAAAUUUUAUAUAAAAUAUUGUACUUAUAAAAUAAUAAAAUAUACAUAUAGAUAAUUAUUAUUAUUAAAAUAAUUGUGUCUUGUUCGCAUCGUGUUGACAUAAUUUGAUUGCACGGAUCGUGUUCGUGUUAAUGAAAAAAUUAAUCGUGUCGUAUUACAUGAAUUGUCAAACCUACUCUUACAGGGUUCAAACUUGUGAUGCUCAGGAAAAUUUAAAGUGAUGAAUUAACUAGAGAGUUAUAAUUAAAGUUCUUACACAUCUGAAUAAGAAAAUCUUAUCUGAAAAUAAUCUUAUUAUUCUGACCGUCCAUUUAUUUUAUCAUUAAAAAAAAGUUAAUCUCGAAGUUGAGAAAAAUUUACAAAUUUUUUUUUUAAUGAAAGGUUCAAAUUAGAGAAGCGUUUUUUUUUGCUCAAAUUUACCGAAUUAAUUAUCAGAGUUUCCUAGCAACAUAAAACCCAACUACAAAGGCCACAGCAGCAACAGUAAUAAACCUUUUGUUCUUUUGCACAUUCUCUAUAAACCUCUCCAUCAUUCCAUCUUCUUCCUCAGCUCCGACAAUGAAGUCCGGCAGUAACUCGUAUUUCGCUUGCAUCUUACGAUUUGUACCUGUCUCUUCUUUGAUUCCUUUCUUCGGCAUGGUCAGUUUCAGGCGACCCUCGUCGAGUUUCCCGUUGAUUUGGUCGAUAUCCACAUCUUCUGGAACGUGGAAAUUUUGGUCGAAACGGUAGUAUUUGUUAUCAGUGGGUGCCAUUCUUUUCCCUUCGACCGUGAGCUUCCCAAAACGAUCGAUCUUUACCUUGAUAUCUUCCUUUUUGAAACCUAUAUAUAUCAUAAUUCAUCAACACAAGGAGAUUAACUCAACUGAUCACAUACUCGCAGUAACUAUUAAGAUUUCUGAAGAUUUAGAGGUUAGGUCUUGCUUUGUACAUAUUUUGAUUAAAUUUUCAUUACGGUAUAACCAAUAAUAUAUUAUGUGAUUUUGGUAUACCUAUGAUAUUUUUAUAUCAUGUAGAGAAAAAACUCUGAUCUUAUGCAAAUGGCACGUACCAGGAAGAUCCAAGGAUAGAAAAUGACUGGUGGGAUUCUGAGACCAAUCUGUUUCUGGUUUGAGUUCUUCAAAGAUUUGUUUGGAUUGUUCCUUUGCGACUCCUUCGGAGUUUCUCUUUCUUAGUCUUUUCAUGGUUGUUGAUUGCAGCAAUAAUAGAUUAAUAGCUAGGGAUUUAUAGGGAAGGAAAACCAUGGUCGAUUGAUUAUAGGUAGGUAAAUAAUGUAAGAUGCUUAUUCCAAACUUUCUUUGAAUUAUGAUGGAUUAAACAACACACAAAGUAUAUAUGAUUCAAUUCUUCAACCUAUUGUUUACAAUGAUUAGGUUUAGGAGACUGCAAGUAUAUAUGAUUCAAUUCUUCAACCUAUUGUUUACAAUGAUUAGGUUUAGGAGACGGUGCGUUGCCGCUACUGCUGCUUCCGCUGCCGAUUGGCAUGUAUGCUGCAACCUGCUUCCCAUUUUUCGCUUGUUGACUGAUUCCAGUGUUGGUCGACAAUGCUCUUUGAGGUAUAGUUUGAUAGAAAUAAGAUGAACGGGCAGUGUCUUUCAUGUCGAGAAUUGGCUUCAGUUCUUCGACGACUUCACUCAUUAGAGGUCUGGCUUUCGAAUCCCGGAUCAAGCACCUGUAAGCCAAAUGGGCAGCUUUCUGAGCUCCUUUCAUGGAGAAAUUACCUCCUAGGCGAGCAUCAAUUAGUCGAUAAAAUCGUCUACGGUCAACAAUGAGUGGUUUUGCCCAUUCUACCAAGUUGUGCUCACCAGUUGGGCGGGUUUUGUCCAUGGAUUUUCGCCCCGAAAGUAUUUCCAGUAGAACAACUCCAAAGCUGUAGACAUCGCUCUUAGAUGUUAAAUGUCCUGAAAACAAAAGGAAAAUUCAAUAACCAACCAACCAAUUCAGAAUAACUUGAUAUCAGAAACCUACCGGUCAUUACAUAUUCCGGAGCUGCAUAGCCGUACGUCCCCAUGACUCUGGUUGAAACAUGAGUGUUAUCUCCCUCAGGUCCAUCUUUAGCAAGCCCGAAGUCGGAUAGUUUUGCAUUAUAUUGCUGCACGGACAUAUAUUUCCUAUAGAGUCGUUUUACGUCAAAAAACAAGAAAGACGGAUGAAGAAUCAAUACAUACCAAAUCUAACAGGAUGUUGGAUGUUUUGAAAUCACGAUAUAUCACCGGUCUUUCAGCUUCUUGGUGCAGAAAAGCAAGUCCUUUUGCAGCACCAAGUGCGAUUUUCAUUCUGAUGAGCCAUGCCACUGGCUGUGAUCCUGUUGUUAUGAUUUCAAAUACCAUUUAGGGUUUGAGAGAGAAAAAUCAUCAAUUAAAAUGAAACAAACAAACACAGAAUAAUAACUACGAGCGUACUUCGAAAGAGAUGGUUUUCUAAACUUCCACGAGGCAGAAACUCAUAUGCUAGUAAUCUUUGAUCAUUUUCAAUGCAGUAUCCAAUCAACUUAACUAAAUUCGGAUGGAUUAGAUCUCCGAGAAAUUUCACCUCAGCCUGCAUGCAGGAUUAAUCAGCAAUUAAUGUGUGAAUGUAAAUUUGACAAUAUGAUAUGCAUGUAUAUAUACCAGCCAUUCUUUGUGUCCUUGAAGUCCGUCGUGAUUGAGCGUCUUAACCGCGACAGUGAGACCAGUGCCUGGUCUCACGGGAGCUGUUCCAUUCUCUUCGAUCCAACCCUUGAAAACGCAACCAAAACCCCCUUCUCCAAGAAGACUCUCUGGUCUGAAAUUUCUUGUGGCAGUUUUAAGUUCGUUGAACGUGAAUUUCCGGAGUUGCGAUGCGAUCUUUAGAUCAUCAGAUGCAACCUUUGGGGUUGAUGAAUUACUUUCAUCGUAACUAGUUGCAGAAGAGCAUGAUGCAGCAGCCAAAUUGGGCUGGUUUUCUUUGCUACCUUCAUCUGAAGAUCUAGGGUUCUCUAGUAUCCAAUGCACACAAAGUCACAAACCACUAUUUCCAAUUCACAUCAGAUUAAACCCUAAUAACAUUUCUAACAUCGCAGUAUAAAUCAAACAUCCAAAAGGGGAUAAAAAUAGCAAUCAAAAUUCCACAUACCUGCACAUAUAAUGGUACUAGUGGUACUGUUACUACCAUCAACCUUGGAUCUGGAACUGAUACAACCUCGAACAACCCUAAGUCCAACCCAACAACCAUUCCCGUCUUCACUCUUUUUCUUCUUCACCUUUUCCACCUUCUCUGCCGAAGUUUUCUUCUUGUUCCUCCAAAUAUAUUUUACUUUUCCAAUUCCUUCCCAUACCUCAAUAGCAUCGGGACCCAACCCCAUCGUCUUCCCAACAAUAGAAAAUUCCGCCUAAAAAAGACACAGGUUUGGGAGUUUUUCGCCGUCACGCAAUCGAAUUCUUCCAAGAAAACACACAACACGGAAAUCUAUAACAUUAGCGACAUCCUCCUGAACGCCUCUCUUUCUCCAACAGACAGAUGUCCCGAGAAAUGAGGGCAUAAAGGGGAGGUCGACACCACCGGCAAUGACUCCCCGUCGACAGCCGAGGAGAACGGAAAGGACGGAGCUUUUCGAGGUGAAGUGAGAAUAGAGGGAGACGGAACUACUGGGGGAGAAAUCUGUGUGAUUGAAUUGAUAAAUAAUAUAAUAAUGUCAGGUCCAACACAGGGGUAUAUUUCAAAUUAUUCAAAGAAUGAGGGUGUUGCUCGUCUAAAGAAAGGCGGAAAAAAAUACAACGACAACACGUGUUUAACACGUCACACGUGUCUACAUAGAUUGUGGACGGUAGUUUUUAUCAACAUUCAACGCUGAAUACGACAUUUUGACUUUUCUUCUUUCUUAUCGGGCAGAUACAUGAUCCGGUAUUAAAAUCCGAUCCGAAUUCUUUUGGGGGCGGGGGAGGGGGGCAACGAUCUGAAAUUCUGAAUUGUGACGGGGAGUUUGGGGAGAAGAAAUAAUGUUUUGGAAGGAGAAGGAGAGAAGAAAUAGGGACAAAGAUGGAGGACCGCCUUGCGGUCAGGUUCGUGUUCUUGUGGUUGGCGAUUCCGGUAAUCGGUUGUUGAUUCUUAUUCUUUUUUAGUUCUCUUUUAAUGAUCGAUACUGUUUUUACGUUCUAUUGCAUUUCUCCGAUGAUCUGAUAUAAGGUAAUGAGACGAUUUUUUUUUGGACGAUUUGGUGUGAAUUUGGGUGUUGAUGUGUGUAUUGUGAAGUCAAGGGAUCUAUAUGAUUUUGUGUUUUGGAAUGAUUUUUUUUUAUAUGAGUCAGUGGAAAUAGUAGUUUUGAUUUGUUGUUAGUUUAUAUACUUUGUCUUUUCUUUUCUUCUGUGUACAUGCUUUUAAAUUUUUAGUGUUGAAAUGUUGAAUAUAAUUUUAACAUGAAUGAUGAGUUCACUUGUAUUUAGAUCGCACCUUAAGGGAAUGAAAGAGAAAAUUCAAAUGCCUUCUAAUGUAUAUAAUUUCAGUGAAAAUAUUUUUACCUUAAUCUUGAAACAAUUUGUACUGAAUUACUGAAAUAGUGAAAUAUAAUUUAUUUCUUGUUUUUAUUGCUCAAUUUGAAAUCUAAUGUUGUUUUUUUGAAGAUUGGUUGACUUAACUAUGAAUGUUUAUUGAGAUUUCCCAGAAAUGUUUAGAAAUGAUUUCCAAAAUCGUGAAAAUGGGAACAAAAAUGUUAAGUAGGAAAUAGUCUUAUUCUCUAAGUAGAAAUGAUCAAAUUUUAGAAUUAUAGAAUGUAUAUAUAUAAGUAUAUUUUAGUUGAGGAUCAAAAUGAUAAUCAUUUGGCAAAACUAAUGGUUCUGGGAAAUUUUUGGAAUAAUCUGUUGACUACACUGUUUAACAAAUAGUGUGAAAUGAUUGAAUGAAAUACAAAUAGUAUGGACUAUGAUUUUUUGUUAGCAAAAAAGAGGAAUCAAAUGAUUCAAUGUGUAUUUUUUUAUAAGACAGCAAUAAGCUACAGCCAUGCUACAGUUUGUUUCGUUCCCUAAAUAAACACUCAAAAAAUCCAUUGGACAAGCGGAUUUACAUGUCUUGUGACCUAUGCAGUAUGAACAGAUCUCAAAGUUUUUUUUUGGAGGGGGAAAAUAUCAUCUUUUAUUACUUUUAGGUUUCUUUCUUAGUUUCUUUUCUUGUUAUCAUAACAAUAUGUAGGUUGUUAACAAUAACAUAGCAACCUGCGCCACGUAUUUCAUUUUGUUAGAAUAUGACUUUUCUAUUUUUUUUUCUUUGUUCUUUCAAAUUCCUUAUCACAUUGCUAUCUGAAUGCCAUGACAGGUGUUGGAAAAACAUCACUUGUACAUCUUAUUACUGCAGGCUCUGCCAUUCCUCAUCCAAAUAAUACAGUUGGAUGUACAGUCAAUGUAAAGGUCAGGUUUACCCUUUUUAAUUAAUCAAGACGAGUUAAAUCAUACUACUUUUUAUUUUUUUCUGAAGAUUUUCAUAUUUUUAAUAUCCAGCAUACUACUUAUAGACAUUCUGGUAGUUCUUCUAGUGUGAAAGGAGACACGGAAAGGGAUUUCUUUGUUGAGCUUUGGGAUAUCUCUGGUCACGAAAGAUAUAAGGAUUGCCGAGCAGUUUUUUACAAACAAAUCAAUGGUGAGAAAUAGAUUGUCAACAUUUUAGGUACCUUAAUUUUCAUGGUCAUCCUUAGACUUUCUACUUCUUGGUAUUCACAUUCAAUUGGAAUUUAGUUUGUUCGUCAACGGAGUUUGUUUUUUUAAAUUGAAGUUAUGUUAUUCAACUUGAACCAUUUAGAUCUGACCUCUCCUCCCUCAAAAUUAGGUGUUUUAUUCGUUCAUGAUCUUUCUCAAAGAAAUACGAAGUCAAACUUGCAGAAAUGGGCAUCAGAAAUUGCAUUAAAUGGAUCAUUCUCAGCUCCUUUAGAAUCAUAUGGACCUUGUGGUCUUCCCAUUCCAUACCUUGUUAUCGGCAACAAAGUUGAUAUCGCCGAGAAACAGCGUACAACUGGAAGCAGUGGUAAUCUUGUUGAUGCAGCUCGGCUGUGGGUUGAAAAGCAGGGUCUACUUUCAAUCAGUGAAGAACUUCCUGUCACGAAUAGCUUUCCAGCAAAUACAGGACUUAUUUCGGUAAAUUAUCAUCUUCAUCACGUAUCAGUGAUACAGUAUCACACAUGGCUUUGUUAAUGAUCUUGUUAUCACGAUAGAUUUUUGGUGUUUUAUAACUUCUAUUGUGUUAGAAACAUUGUAUUUUUGGUACAGUUUACGGUACCAAAAUGUUGGAACAAUGAGUUUUCCUUUUUGAGCAUGUUCAAAGUUAACCUUAGUAUUACUAACUCUGAACAUGUCUAUAGAUUUUUAGUUAGUCAUUCUGAUCAGUGAUCAUGGACUCAUGGUCAAAGUUGCUAUCUCUGAACAUGUCCAAAUAGAAUAAAUCCAAUAUUCGAGUUUUGGGAUGGUUAACUGCAACAUAUUUUUGGAUGAAAUACUAUUUAUAGUUAAUAAAAUAAAAGAGAAGGAUUCUAUAUUUGUAUUACAAUUACAAAUAAAAUAUACUUUCAUAUUAUUAUAUUGAUUAUAAGGGCAAAUAAAAAAUAAUAUUAAGAAUCAUGAAAUUCUGAAUCAUCGAACAAAACAAUAUUUUGAUUAUUUUCAUAUUUUCUUGAAAAAAAUGCAUCAUGAAAAUGUCAAAUAUUGUGGUCAAAUUUUCACAACCAUUCGUGUAAGUUUCAUGCUGUAGUCAAAUUCACAAGGAUAUUAGCAACUUCUUUGAUGGUAAUUCAUACAAAAAAAAAACAAUUGAAAUUCAAUUGAGGAUAAUGUGUAAUUGUUUGAAAUUCCAAUUCCUUGAGACAUCUCGAAUCUCAAUGCUGUCAAAGGAAGUCGGAAACCAUAUAAGGAGAGGACGAUGAGCCUGCUCAUCUCCCAUAAUCUUUUCAUUGUAACCUAGGCUUUGCCUUUUUCAUUUCUUAAGCUUAGAAACUUCAUAACAAAAGCAGUUUACAGAAACUUUUACUUAUAGUGUGAAUUACUCUCGUGCUGUUCUUUUCAUUUACACAUCUUUUGAGAAACUAUGAAUUUGUGAUUCCUAUUUUUAUUUCUAAACUUUCAUUUUUUUUAAAUUCUUAUGAAACCAGCAUACCUAUUUUUUAUAUUGACUAAUUUGACUGACAUUCGUUUUUACAUUGCUUGAAUCUUUACAGGCAGCCAAAGAUGCAAGAUUUGACAAGGAGUCUAUACUAAAGUUUUUUCACACAGUUAGCAUCUCGCAAUCUAAGUGCACACAUAUUUUGUUACAUUUCGAAAAUUCAGAAACUGAUGCAAACAUUUUAUUUUUCAGUUGAUCAGAAGAAGAUACUUUUCCGAUGAACUACCUUCUCAAAAUACUUGGUCUGCAUCUCCUAUACAAAAUUCUAUUUACCAUUCAGAUGAGAUUUCAUUUGAGGACGAUAAAUACAACAAGAGUUUUAGGUAAAUCCGUAAAUCCAUUUUAGAAACAAGACCAAUGGUAUUUUAUUUGACAAAUUGCUACAAAAAAUUCCUGUUUGCUAUGAUAGUUCGUUUCAUCAGAAUAAUAAAAUUUCAAGUGAAUUAUGAUUGCAGCUCAAGUAGUGAAGCUUACAGAAGCAACACCCUCCCACCACUUCCUGCACAGCGCAACCUAAUGCCACCUCCAACGUUCUAUCCUCAGCAGCCAGUGGCCAUUUCCGAUAGCUUUGAUCACCAAAGAUUCACAACAUCCGAAAUCAGCAACACAAGUUCUAAAAGAUCAGAUAUUAACGUUUGACUCCCACCAUGUAUGUAUCUAAAAAUGUCUAAUUGUGUAUGUUAUUGUUUUGUGAUAUGAAAAAUAUAGAGAUUUUGCAACUCUCUUUUCACAUAUAUCAAAAUGUCUACUUUUAACUAUAAUUAGGGGCGAUAAUGGAUCAGAAUUUGCCCAUCGAACCCGUUACCCAUUUAAUAGAAAUACCCAUUCGGCCAUUACCCGCCCAAUAGAAUAUAUUUGUUUUUAAUUUAUUUCCUUUCGCUAGAUGAUUGUGGCUUCAAGAUUUAGUAUAUCUACGACCGUCAGAUCAGAAUGGAUAUCAUAAUUUUAAAAAACAAAGAAGCGUGUUAAAACUAUCUUCUUACUAUUGGAGUUAAUUGUAUUGAAAUUAAUUGAAAAGAGUUAUUUGUAAUUAUUUUAAUGAACAAUUAAUUAAAUUAUAAGGAAGGCAUAAAUUAGAUGGAGAAUAUUUUUUAUGGACUGAUAAUUUUUAUUGGGUCUGUCGGAAGUGGAUGGCUAUGAUUAGGCACGUUUCUCUAGAUAACUAAUUAUAAAUAACGCUUAUAAUGUUGUUGGAUAUUUUUCUGCCGACUGUAAUUCUUGUCACCAAAGGUAGGAGAAACCCAAUCACCUCUCAGGGAAUAAGUACAACUGAACAUCGUUAACAAAACAUUCUGUUUUAUUGUGUGUUUUUAUUUCAACUUCCUCCACUUCUAUUUUUUCUGAUAUAAUUACACGUUUCAAAUCAGGACUUUUGUGUGAAUGGUGUGAGGUCAUAAUUGAGAAAAUAAAGAGAGCCAUCAUUCUCGUGUAAAGUAGAGAGAAUCUGAUAGGGAGACAUCAUAUCUAUUCGUGGAUUGUAAAUCGACUUAUACUUCUUACACAAAAUCAUGUGUUCUUGUCUAUGUAAACUCCUGUAUCGGCUUUCUUUUUUAUCAACUCUGGCGAAGAUGUAUGUAGUGAAGAGAGAUGGGCGUCAAGAAAAGGUGUGCUUCAGGAUCUACAAUGGUAUUACUACGACGGUACGAGUACGACCCUACUCGUCUCACUACCGAAACUGCCCCAGCUAUGUUCAGGUUUGGUUUUGUUAAUUUGAAUUUUCUUUACAUCUUUGUUUUUUAUUGUAACAUUUUUUUGAUGUUGAUGAUGAAUUUGGUGAUAGCUUGCAACAAGGAUUGUGGUAUGGGAUCUUCACAAGAAUACCAGUAGAUCGAUUUGCGAAAUGUGAGAAUAUUUUCUAUUCACUCUGAUACCAUGGUUUCAAGUGUGAAGAUCAUAUAUCAUAACUACGACGAGUGGAGCAAGAUGAAGGAAGGCGUCAUUGAUAGCCGAAGAUGUUUACAAAUUUAUCACCAAUGCAAUUUCCUUUAACCCAACCCUCUUAUGAUUAAUGAAAAUAUUUAACUGCUUCAAAAAAAAACUCGCCAAUUCCGGAACCCCUAAACUCAGGUAUUUAACCAUUAAUUCCGUGUAUUCGAUAACCAAUUAACUUGUUGAUGGUAUUAUCAUGUCUUUCUUUGCCAAUUAAGUAGUUGUUUCCUUAUAUGCGCGGAAAAAGACAGUAUGUGCGAAAGGAACACAGGGCAAGGGACUUGUUCUAUGUUCUUCGGAUGCCAGAUUUAUUCAUGCAAAGAGUGAAAGAUCACAGGUAAUGGUCAUUAAUCAUUAUUCUGUCCAAAUGAGGAUCCAGGCAUAGCAAACUGCUGGGGUGAUCAAAUUGAAGAAUUGUAUAUCAGAUAUGAAAAACUGGUUUGUUUCUAAUCAAUUUAAUGAAUUGAGUAACAUGUUGAUGAUUGAAAUCCAAAUUUUCAGGGGAAAACCAUAAAGAUUCUCUCUGCACAAAAUCUCUGGUUUAAAAUCUUGGAGUCUCAAGUAAAACCCGGCACACCUUAUAUGCUUUUCAAGGUAUCAAAAAUCAUCAUAUUGAUCUUUCAAAGAUUAUCCAUCAUCUUUAGUAAAAUCUUUGUUGUAUUUCACCUAAUGUAGGAAUUAGGAUACAAAUAAUCGAAAGAGCAAUCAACAAAAUCUUGGGACAUUUAAGUCUUUCAACUCAUGCACCAAGAUCAUCCAAUUUAGUGAAUUUACCAGUCCAGAUGAAACUGCAGUUUGCAACUUGGCUUCCAAUGCUUUACCUAGAUUUGUCAGAGAUAAGUCAUUAGUCGAGAACAACAGUAAAUGCAAUCUUGUUUGCCAGCAUUGGAUCCAAUAAUAGAUAUUUUGAUUUUGACAAGUUAGCAGAGGUUACAUUUAUAGUUACCUUGAACCUCAAUGAGAUAAUUGAUGUGAGCUUAUAUCCAGUUGAAGCUGCAAAGAGAUCAAAUCUUUAUCAAAGAUCGAUUGGCAUAGGAGUGCAAUUUGAUUCCUAGAUUUUACACGGCAUGCAAUUUGAUUCGCUAGAGGCUAGACAACUGAAUAGAGAUAUAUUUGAGAGCUGAGACUCUAUAUUAGUAUUCCUUAAAGGCUUCUUGCAAACUUGCUUCAAACCAAGACAAUUAUGAAUCUUACCAAGGUUGUCCUAUGAGCAAGAUAAUCCUUUAACCUGAUAUGUGGGAUGUUGUGCCAUCUGAUCGUUGGGAGUGGACAACAUUGAGAGUCAUGGUAUCCACAAGCAGAGUGCGAAAUUCUCUUCUUAUAGUUCCUAUUGCCAACAACUUACACCCAAUCAGAUUCUCAGCAACAAUGAAUGCUUUGAGCCUUACACAUCAAAUAUAUACAGUCGAAGGAUUCUGAGUGAUGAAUUUGUUGUGGUAAACAAACACCUUCUAUAUGUUUUAACACAGAUGAACCUUCGGUCUAUUUCUAUGAAGAAUAAGAUCAUUCAUCACAACAGUUCUUUAGCGAAGAUUUCAGAAAUACCGACGAGAUCAUUUGAAAGCAAUUUAUAAGACUGUGUGAGACAUUAAGCAAAUGACAUUGGUUGACAUGGAAGCCUUCAUUGAUCACAGUCGAAACCUGAACAUUCAUAUGGACCAACCUACCAAUAAUGGCAAGCUCACUUCCCUACACUUUUACGCUUGGUCAAAGAGACUCAAAACUGGAAUGUAUUACCUUCGAACCAGAUCCGCAGCUGAUGAAAUCAAGUUCACCGUAGAAUAGAUCUCGGUGGAGUUAGGAUGAGAUGUGUCUCUUACCAUAAAUUUAUGAAUGAUGUUAUCCAAUUCAAUCCAACUGUAAGCUGUGCAUUUUGUUACAUGUUUAUCUUUCAUCAACCUUCUCAUUUUUACUGCUUCUCUCCAUCUUCCGGCACUGCCGUAGAUAUUAGCCAUAAGAACAUAAUUCGCAGAGUUAUCAGGUUCCAUUGCUUGCAGCUUUUCCAUGGCGACUUCAGCAAGCUCUACAUGGGAGGAAUCAACUCUACAUGCACUGAGUAAUGUCCCCCAAAUUAUCACAUUAGGCUCAACAUCCAUCUCAUGUAUAAACAUGUAGGCAUCUUCCAAUCUCCCACACUUACACAGAAGAUCUACAAUGCACGCUGAAUGUUCCACUUUUGGGUUCAUGUUAUACUUUACUUUCAUGCUGUUGUAAAAUUGAAGCCCCAAUUCCACCAGGCCGGCAUGCGUGCACGCAGUUAACAAUGCGAUAAAGGUCAGCUCCGUCGGUACUUCUAAUUCUCUUUCAACCAUCGUUCGAUACAGAUCAAUGGCUUCGUUUGCAAGGCCGUUAUACGCUAAUCCUCUGAUCAUUGAGUUCCAUGAUACAAUGUCCUUAUAAGGCAUUUCGUCAAACACCUUUCUCGCUUUUCUUAUGUUCCCGCACUUUGAAUACAUAUCCACCAACGCUGAACCAAUAUAGAUAUUUUGAGUGCUUGUAUGCUCCUCCACGUAUCUUCCAAUGCGUUCUCCAGUUUCUACCGAACCCAACUGACCACAAGCAGAAAGAACACAUGUAAGUGUGAUCUUAUUAGGUUUAACUCUGGUUUCCAAUUUCAUCUUCUCAAAAAGGUCAAGCGCAUCUUUGGGUCUUCCAUUCUGAGCAUAUCCGGAUAUCAUUGCAGUCCAUGCAACAAUAUCUCGAUGAUCCAUUUCGUCAAACUCCAGCCGUGCCUCAUCGACAGAGCCUCCUUUGACAAGCAUCUCCAAAACUGCAGUACGUACAAUCAAACCUCCCAUCUUUUCAUUCCCGUCGAUUAAUUUCUUGAUUUUCAAUCCCAUCUCCAAGUCACCCAAUCUCGCACACAUUGACAGAAUUGUAACAAGAGUGAUCUCAUUUGCCUCGACUUUCUCCAAUUGCAUUCUUUGGAACAGAAUCAGUCCUUCCAUCACGUUGUCACUGUGAGCAUAGCAAGAUAUCAUGGAAUUCCAAGUAACUAAACUCUUCUCAGUCAUUUCAUCAAACAGUUGACGUGCUGCAAGAACAUCACCAGCCUUGGAAUACCCAGAUAUCAAACAGUUGUAAGUCACAGGAUCUUUAACAGGCACCUCUUCAAAAACCUUCCUAGCCGAACUCAAAUCUUCAUUCUUCGAGUAGAAAUCGAUCAUCGCAGUCAGAAUGAAGGAAUUGGACCAAAACCCACUUCGCACAAUAUGAGAAUGCAGCUGUUUCCCCUCAUGAAAAGCCGAAAACAAAGCACAAGCUUUGAUGACAGGUGGAAUAGAGAAGAAUGCGAGUUGGGUUCCCCUCCGAUGCGACGAAAAGAAGACCUCCAAAGCUUCGCUAUAAAGAGAUAGCUUGGAGCAAGUCGCAACAAUGGAGUUAGUUAAAAUGGAAUCUGGUUUCGGAAUUGUAUCAAACAUCUGCAGUGCGUAGCUGAUGGUCGUCGGAUUUUGUAAAUAUCUGACAAGUAAAGGUGUUAAAUUCGGAUAAAUCCUGACGACCACCGUGUGGAUUUCCCUGAUACGAUCUGGCCGAAGUGCAGUAGAUUUCAACAGAGACAGAAGGUAUUUUUCUUCCAUCUCCCAAACAAAUUCAAAUCAAUCGAUUUUUUUCUCAUUUUAUAAUCCUAAUAAAAUAAUAAAUUGUAUUUACAUCCAAAACUAUAUCAAAAAUUACAAAUACAUCCAUUAGAAUCUGUUAUUCAGAGAUUUUUUUAUUCCAUUCAUAUUGGAAUGAGAUGAGACGAAAAUAUUCGUCAUUAUAUAAAACAACUUGUCACUUGUCAGUGAUCGUAGACGACAGAUUUCUGACUAGAUUCUCCGAUUUCGCCAUCUUUAACAACCUGUCGACGGCGAAAGGGAUCGGCAUUUUCUGAUCGGAAGAAGACAAAGCUCGAUGGACGCAGUGAAAUGGAUACUCCUUCCUCUUCUGUUCCUAAUCGCAUCUGUUAUUAUUCUCUACACCCAAUCCAAUCACGAGGUAGUUUAAUCAUCGAUCCCCUCAAUCUCCUUUCCGAUUUUCACCGUCGCUUAAUUUGCUUCCCAUUUUCCAGGUGCAAAACCAAUCGGAUGGGUGUAGCUUACUUCCGCAUAGCCGGUACCGGAUUCGCAGCACCCGGAUCGUGACGCCGGAAGGGGUGAUUUCUGGAUUAUGUAUAUGCUUAUUUAUACUGAAUGACAAUAACUCAGUUCAUUGAUUUAGUCAGAAUUGGUGAUUGAUUUAUCUCUGACAUUGGUUCAGUGGAAAUCAGAGGAGGGCUGAUUGCGGCGGUUGUCGAAGGAGGAGGUGGAGGAGGUGAAGGACCAGUUCUUGAUUAUGGAGAUUCUGUAGUCAUGCCUGGUUUGAUUGAUGUGUGAGUUUUUCAUUUCUGUUUAAUUUAUUUGUUCUUUAAAAUCUUAUUUUUAAUUUUAAUUUUGGUAUUACUAAAACAGCCAUGCACAUCUUGAUGAGCCUGGGAGAGCGGAUUGGGAAGGGUUCUAUACUGGAACAAAAGCUGCAGCUGCUGGUGAUUCAUUCUUUUCAACAAUAGUUACUGAUUACUGAUUAUAGUAGUAUAUAAAUUCAGAAACUCUAAUCAAUUUGUGAAUAUGAUUCUGAUAGGGGGUGUGACAACAUUGAUCGAUAUGCCUCUUAAUAGCUUUCCAUCAACUGUAUCUGAACAGACAUUGAGACUUAAGGUCAUGGUAUUUUUACAUCCAUUGUUUCUAUUACUUCUCUAUCAUUCUAACAGUCCAAAAUUUCGGUGAUCUGUAGGGGAUUGGUUGUGGUGUGUACCUUGGUGUUUUAUACUUUUAUUACUCCUAGAAAGUAGUGCUCCACCUUAUUCAUAGAGUUUUUGAAUAGAGAGUUCAUGUUGUAGGUAGGGAGUUUCUGGUUGUUAGGUUCGUUAGCGAAGACUAGUGAUAGUUCAUUGAGGUUCUUGGAUAGGGAGAUCUCCGAUACCAUGAGCGAAUUGAUGAUGACGAAGGUUGAGAGUUAGAACAGAGUAUAUAGGUAGAGGAGGUGAACGAUAUUUGGAGUGAGUUAAGGAAAAUUUUAUCACCUCUAUUUAUAUGUGUAUGUAAGUAUUUCCUUAUGUUUCUUCUAUAGUCUAAUACAGAUCAAAGCAGCUCGUGACAAGCUCUAUGUUGAUGUAGGUAUGUAAAUAUUUUCAAAUCUAAAUUUAUGAAACCUUUUAAUUUCAAUUCUUCGGUUUAUUUUUAAAUUCUAUGAUGAUAAUCGAAUUUAGGGUUUUGGGGAGGACUUGUGCCAGAAAAUGCAUUUAACCAGACUGUACUGGAGAAACUUCUUGAUGCCGGUGCCCUUGGUCUUAAAGUAAUCGAACGAACACCUAUUCGAUCCUUUGAAUCUUUGAGAAUAUUCUUUUAAUUACUUCCUGAUUUUUUUCUCUCCAUUCUUUCUUCUUCUUCUUCUAGUCAUUCAUGUGCCCAUCUGGAAUAAAUGAUUUUCCAAUGACAAAUGCAACUCAUAUCAAGGUUGGUUGAUGGUUUGAUUUCUUAAUCCUUAUUUAUAACAUAACAUGUAUCCAUUACUCAAAUUUAUAAACACUGGUCAUUCUACAUAGGAAGGACUAUACACUCUAGCCAAAUACAAAAGGCCUUUACUUGUUCAUGCUGAGAUGCAACUAGAUUCAGAAGAUGACAAUAAUGAAACCAAUGAUGAUGUUUCUGAUCCUCGUUCAUACUCAACAUAUCUCAAGACUAGACCACCAUCAUGGUAAAAGAUAUUCUUCGCAUUCUAAGCUUUAAAUUGUUGGAUUAAACAAUUUAUUUUUUGCGCGCAAUUUGAACACCAUAUAUGAUUUUAAAGGGAGGAGGCAGCGAUCAGAGAGUUGCAUAGUGUAGCAUAUGAAACAAGAACUGGUGGGCGGGCAGAAGGAGCCCAUAUCCAUAUUGUUCAUCUUUCAGAUUCACAAGCUUCACUCAAUAUCAUCAAGGUAUAUUUUCUGUGUACAAUAUUUUCUUGAAAUUUACUUCAAUCACAAUCAAUCCUAAACAUAUUUGUGUCAAAAAUAUAGGAUGCAAAAACAAGUGGUUCAAGUGUAACUGUUGAAACAUGCCCACAUUACCUAGCCUUCUCAUCAGAACAAAUCCCUUAUGGAGAUACGAGAUUCAAGUGCUCUCCACCAAUCCGUAACGAAGUCAAUAGAAUGAAUCUGUGGCAAGCUUUAAUGGUACUAUAUAUUAAUUAUAUCUAUGUAAAAGGUUAGUUAAUAUUGUUGAAAAUCCAAGUUCCUUUUUAGGAUGGGCAUAUCGACUUUUUAAGCUCAGAUCAUUCACCUAGUCUACCUGAACUUAAGCUCUUGGAUGAUGGCGAUUUUCUAAAAGCAUGGGGCGGUAUCUCAUCUUUACAGGCAAUUUUCUAUUGAAUUUCAUUUUUUUCUUCUCCUUAUGCCUCUUCCAUGGUUCUCCUAAUUCAGAAGCCCUACUCUAUUUGUAGUUUGUUCUUCCCAUAACAUGGUCAUAUGGAAAAAAGUUUGGAAUCACUUUAAAUCAAUUAGCUAAAUGGUGGAGCGAAAGACCGGCAAAACUCUCAGGCCAAGAGUUGAAGGUGAUUUGUAUACAUUAUAUUAAAGUACAAUACUUGUUAAUUUACAUGAUUAAUUAACUGGAUUUUUCAGGGUGCCAUUGUUAGCGGGAAUCAUGCUGAUCUUGUUAUUUGGGACUCUGAUGUUGAGUAUGAACUGGAUGAAAAUCACGAUGUUCAUCAUAAGCAUCGUGUAUGAAAUCAUUAACAAACUUACCUUGUGUCUGAUUUUGUUAUAUUGACAAACUUAGAUUUGGUUCUUCUUUGAAGCAUGCAUUCAUUGAUUAUAUCCAUAGGCGUACUAAAUCAACAUUAAUUAUUUUGCAGAAUAUAUCAGCAUACAUGGGAACAAAACUCUUUGGAAAGGUUAUUUCUACAUUCGUUAGAGGUUCUCUUGUUUAUAACAAUGGAAAACAUGCAGCAAUGGCUUGUAGAGACCCUAUAUUGGCGACAUAACUCAAUUAUUCAAGUCUUUUCAAGGUUAAUGCCUUAGAUGAAUUAAUAUAUUUGUAGGGCUUACUUCCUAGUUCAUAUAAGUUGUGGAAUUGUAUGUAUAUUUGGCGGAGUUCCAUAUCGUAUGUACCCUAGAUGGAAUAGCGGAACUACAUAUCAGUAAAUGUGUUGUUCUAACAUGUUGUUUCAUACCUUGUCGUGUGCCCGUUAUUGUAUAUGUCGAGUCAUGUAUCCUUCUGAUAUUGUUUUUUAUUUAUUCUGAUCAAACUUUUAGUGAUCGAACACUUAUUUUUAAUGCUCUUUGUGAACACCUCUAAUGAGAUUUUGCCUGGUUCAUCUCUCACUCAAAUUGAAAUUUAAAAUUUGUGUUUCUAAUGUCUCUGUCGUCGUCGCAAGUGAGUCGGAAGUAGCGUAAAAAGGAGCGGAGCCGGAGGGUGGAAGAAGGUCUCCCGAAGGAGCCAGAGGUUCUAAAAGGAGAUUACUUUUUUUAAACUUGAUUGAUGAGACUAGCUCACCGGUGUCCUUUAUUUAUAUUGUCUACUGACCAUUUAACAACUGUAAAACUAAUUUCCUAAUUACAAUGUUUAGUAAUUUGUAACCAAUUUAGUAGUAAAUGAAGUCUUUAUGACUAUUGGGCCUUCGGGUGCAAGGCCCAAUCUUUUCUACCGGACUUUCCGUUGCAGGUGGUGCUCCAGCGGGAUUCUUCAGCCGUAGUUCCUUCUUCAUUCGUCCGGAUAUUUUGUUGGUGUCUAGCUGCACCAUCACAGUCUUUCGUAUCUCCAUGUGCUAACAUUUCACGUAUUUUAAUAUAGUAAUGUUUAGUAUACAAGAAAAGAUAUUUAGUAUGAUUUGAGGUCGGUGAAGUACUGAAGUUCAAUGGUAGAUUUUUGAACUACACUGUAGAUUCGCGCCCCCUACUCUACCGUGAGUAUCAAAUCUUAGUUUUCUCUCAUUUUGAACUUCUAUUUUUUAAAGAGGGAAUUCCUAACCAGUUAGUCGGGUCAAAAGAUCCGACCCAGUUAUAAAUUUUGGAAUUCCUAUAUAAAUUUUGGAAUUCACAACAGGGAAAUCAUUCCAGUUUACAGGUAUUUUCGGUUAAAUCUUUUGGGUUCUAUUUGUUCUGUUCUCAUUCCUACGUUCUUCCUGGAUCUAGGGUUCAUCGAUUUCACUUCAUCUUCUUGUCAGCUCUUUCUCCGUUCAUCGGCGAACAUUCAUUUCUUUCUAGUCCUUAUCUCAAGUCUCUAGUAUUUCUUGAUUUUGUUUUCUACAAUUUACGUUCUUGCUGUACUUUCUGUAAUUACAUUGAAUCUGGAUGUUCUUUGUAUGUUAAUAGAAUUUCUUCAUCUUUUCAUAUUUGAAUAAUGUGUAUUGUCGUUUGUGAAAGUUGAAUCUUAGUUCUUGAAUUUUAUAAGUUUAGUUUAGUUUAGUUUUCAUAUGGUUCUUGUCUAUCUCAAAAGAGUUUAAUUUUUUCCAGUAUUCAUCUUUCAACAUAUCUGAAUACACAUUACAGCAUUUUUUAUAAUUCCAGAUGGUAUCAGAGCCUAGUUUGGUCCUGGUUAGGUGUCACUUAGGUGUUUGAUUUUUUUCCUCAAUCAAGUGUAGAUCUCUAGUUGGGCGUUAUUUUUGAAGAUUAUUUUUUUUUGGAUUCUUAUUUAGAAUUGUUACUGGUGUGAAUUUAGUUCUAACUAUCUCAUUAAUCUGCAGUGAUAUCUAAAUUGUUAAAUCAGACCUAGCACCUAAUGCAAAAUCAAAUAAUGGCCAUUCCAACACCCACCACAGCAAACUAUAAUAUUUUUAGCCUAGUUUCGGAUAAAAUGGACAGAGGGAAUUACUUAUGUUGGAAAAAUCAGUUUGAAUGUGCACUUCGGGUUCACAAGCUUUUACAUCUAAUAUCCGGUACUGAACAAGUUCCUGUGAGCAUGUUGGACAAUGGAACUGCCAAUCCAGAAUUUGAAGAAUGGGAGACCAGGGAUAAUCUGGUAUUAGGAUGGUUAAAAGCUACAGUUUUCAAUCCUUAUCAACUGAUGCUUUUAAAGUGUAAAUCAGCAUUUGAAGGUUGGAAUUCAUUAGAGAAAUUAUUAUCCCCAGUCAGCAAAACUCAAGUACAAGUUAUAAGGGAUCAGCUGAAUAAUCUGAAGAAGGGUACAAAUGAGUCAAUGCAGGACGUACUAUUUAGUAAAGGCAAAAGGUUUGGUAGAGUCCUUGGCAUCAACUGGUGAAGUUACUAGUGAUAAUCAGACAAUGGCUUCUAUUUUGAAUGGUUUGGGAAGUGACUAUCAUAUAGUAGUCGCCACCAUUAGAUCAAGAGGCACAACUACAUUUGAUGAGUUAACUGAUUUAUUAAUCAGUGAGGAAAACUUGUUGAAAAGAAUACAAGGAGAAACUCAGGUAACAGCCUUUGCUGCACAUCAUCAACUAGGGGGAAUCAAAAUUAUGGAAGGGUAGAGGUGGAUAUGCAUAUGGAAACCAGAAUUUCAACUAUGGUCAGCAGGGAAAUUACAAUGGAUAUCAGAAUCAGAAUUAUGGUCCACCAAUGAACUACAAUGGAGGAUACAAUGGUGGGCAAUUUUUUAAUGGAUAUAGUCAUGGUGGUCAGAACUUUUACAGAGACUACAUUCAGGAUAUCCUUCUGGGCAACAAUUUCAGAACCCACCAAGAGUACAAAUAUAUCAGCCCAGACUAAAUUAUAGGGCACAAACACAAUCUGUAUACCAGUCUGCUGCUCCUAUAACCACUACACCUCAAUUGUCACCUAUCUCACCAACUCCAGCGUCUAUAUAUAAAUCAAAACUUCAGUUGUCAGAUUUGUGACAAGCAGAGACGUUUGGCUAAAACAUGCCCUGAUUUACAUAACUUUUCAGCUCAUCUAGCUGAAACAACAAUUAUAGACCCUGUUCAGCAAAGCUCGUCUUCUCAGAUCAGUGACAUAAAUCUUAUUGUAGCAAUGUCUGCUUCAGCUUUGUGUAAUGACAGUUCUUGGUGUCUGGAUUCAGGAGCUUCCAGUCACAUGAUUCCGAAUAUAGAUGCAUUCACAUCAUAUAAUCAUUUUUAAGGUAAUCAGUCUGUUAUUGUUGGAAGUGGUGAGAAAUUAAAAAUUAUGCAUAAGGGAUCUAUUUGUAUAAUGACAGGAGGUAAAAGAUUCAUUAUAGAUAAUGUUUUGCAUGUACCUGGUCUAAAGAAAAGUCUUUUGUCUAUUCAGAAAUUAUCUCAUGAUCUUAACUGCAUGAUUUUGUUUAAUAAAAGUGGGUUUUUGGUAAAGGACCUGUCUACCAAGGAGAUACUAUUUUCUGACAGUAGUUAUGGGGGAUUAUAUCACUUGGAUAGAGAUCUAGAAGCUAACUAUGAAGUGAAGGCCACCAGAGAAGUAUGGCACUCCAGACUUGGGCAUACAUCAGAAGUUGUUCUUCAGAAACUGAAUAGUACAUAUUGUCUGUUAAGCCUUCUGAUAAGACAAAGAAUGGAGCUUGCCAUAUUUAUCCUCUUGGUAAAGCACAUAGACUACCUUACACAAGAAGUAUUUCUAGUUGUAAUAAACCACUACAAUUGAUUUAUAUUGAUUUGUGGGGUCCUGCUCCAAUAAAUUCAGUUCAUUCAUUUGUCUAUUAUGCAUCUUUUGUAGAUGAUUUUUCUAAGUUUAGCUGGAUUGUACCCAUGAAUCAAAAAUCAGACUUUUAUAAAAAAAUUACAGUGUUUCAAAAGCAGGUUGAAAACUUAUUAGACAAUAAAAUAAAGGAGGUCUAGACAGAUAUGGUAGGAGAGUUUAUUAAUCAGAGAUUGAAGGAGUUGUUUCAGGAAAAAGGCAUAAGACAUAGAAUGUCUUGUGCAUACACUUCACAACAACAUGGAGUUGUAGAAAGAAGACAUAGACAAAAUAGUCGAAGUGGGCAGGUGCAUUUUUGCUCAAACCAGAAUUCCAUACAAUAUUUAUUGGCCAGAGGUGUUUUCCUCUGCUGUCUUUAUUUUGAACAAGCUACCCACUCCCGUGUUAGGAAACAAAACACCUUUUGAAACAUUGUUUAAACAAAAACCUGAUUAUAAUCUUUUUAAAACUAUAGAUUGUGUUUGCUUUUCACUUAUUCCUAAACAUCAAAGAAAUAAAUUACAACCCAAAGCCUCUAAGUGCGUCUUGUUAGGAUAUGCCACCCAACAAAAGGGAUAUAGAUGUUUACAUUUAGAUACUCUAAAAAUAACAGUCUCUAGAGAUGUUACAUUUGAUGAAUCUGUUUUUCCAUUUGUGAAUUCAGAUACGAAAACCAAUAAUCUACAAAAACCAUCAUCUACAAAAUUAUCCAUUUCUCUACCUAUAAGUAACAAUGAAGUGAAUGGAAAUGGAAACACACUAAUAACAACCAUAAAUAUGUCAAGUCAGUCAAAUAGAUCUUCAAAUGAUAUUCAUACUAUUUCAAACUCAUCUGAACAAAAUCAAUCAAGUACAUCACCAUCUCCUGAAUCAAAUGAGGUAAGUUCUGGUUCAUCAACUACUUCAGUUGAAGGAUCUUCUGAUACAUCACCAUCUUCAUCUAAUGAAGUUAGGAAUCUAUCGACUAAUUUUAACACCUCAUCCAGUGAUGUACCUCAAAUAGAUAGGUAUGUGAUAGAGCCAUCCAGAAAUAUAAACAAUACAGAUCUAAGAAGAUCUGUCAGAGUGAGAACUCCAAAUAUAACUUUAAAAGAUUUUAACUGUUCUUACUACACUAAUAUGUCUAAUAUAUCUUCUUUAUGUGACCCUACAUCUCAUGCACAGGCUAUUAAACAAGGAUACUGGGAUAAAGCAAUGAAAGAAGAAAUGGAUGCACUUCAACAAAACAAAACAUGGCCUCUGGUUCCACAUAUUCCGGACAUGAACAUUGUAGGUUCCAAGUGGGUUUACAAGAUCAAGAGGAAGGCUGAUGGAACAGUUGAUAGGUUGAAGGCUAGAUUAGUAGCCAGAGGAUUUACACAAGAAGAAGGAACUAAUUUUCAUUAUACCUAAAGUCUGGUAAUAAAAAUUACAACAGUAAGAACAGUGUUGUCAUUAGCAACAAAUUUUGGAUGGGAGUUGCAGCAACUUGAUGUAAGAAAUGCAUUUCUGAAUGAGGUUUUACAAGAAACAGUAUACAUGAAGCAACAUACUGGAUUUGUGGACAAAAAGAGGCCAAAAGAUGUUUGUCUUCUUCACAAAGCCAUCUAUGGGCUGAAGCAAGCACCAAGGGCUUGGUAUAUGAGAUUACAUACUUUUUUAGUUCAAAAUGGGUUCACAAAUUCAAAUACUGAUGCAUCUAUGUUUUUUAAGGACUCGGGUUGUUCUAAGAUCAUUAUUUUGGUAUAUGUGAUGACAUUAUUAUCACGGGAGGAGAUACAAGAGAAAUCAAAAGAGUAAUGCAAAUGAUUUGUACUGAAUUUUCAUGCAGAGAACUGGGAAGGCUGAAGUAUUUUUUAGGAAUUGAAUGCUCUUAUGCUGGUUCAUCAAUGAUUAUAUCUCAAGAAAAAUAUACUAACGAUUUAUUAAUGAGGUAUGGGUUUGAUAAAGCCAAACCAGCCAAUACACCCAUGAUACAAUCUCCUAGAAUGUAUGAAAUACAGGUGAAACAGUACAAGAUAUAACUAUGUUCAUGAGUAUGGUGGGCUCUCUACAAUAUCUGAGCUUAACGAGGCCAGAUAUCUCCUUUGCAGUAAAUUAGAUCUGUCAACACAUUCACAAUCCACUUGAUGGUCACUUACAAGCAGUCAAGAGAGUGUUUAGGUAUCUCAGAGGUACUUCCAACAUGGGAUUGAAAUUUACAGCAAAUUCAGAUCAGAACUUGAUUCUAGAAGCUCAUUGUGAUUCUGAUUGGGGAGGAACAUUGGAUAGGAGAUCUAUAACAUGUUCAAGUAUCUGGCUGAAUGGUAAUUUGGUAUCAUAUAUGGUCUGCUAAGAAGCAACCAUCGGUCUCUUUCUCCAGUGUAAAGGCUGAAUCCAAAGCCAUCUCACAUGUCACUUCUGAAAUUAGAUGGUUUUGCUUCUUGUUGAGAGAAUUGAAUUUAAAAUUUUCCAGAGCACCAUUGCUUUUAUGUGAUAAUAAAUCAGCCAUAUAUAUGACAACCAAUCCAACAAUUACCAGCAGAUCAAGACAUAUUGAUAUUGCUUAUUGCUUUGUGAGAGAAUUAUUAGCAAAAGGGGUUUUACAGAUCAAAUAUAUUCCUACUAGCUUACAAUUAGCUGAUGGUUUUACCAAGGUGUUGGGUACUGAAUUAUUCCGACGGCACAAAGAUAGGCACAAAUUGGUGGUUCAGAUACAAGGUCACCUUAUCCAAGUUCACCAGAAUUAAUGCUGCUGAACUUGUAGGAGGAUCUUAAAGAGGGAAUUCCUAACCAGAUAGUCGGGUCAAAAGAUCCUAUAUAAAGAGGCAUUAUCACAACAGGGAAAUCAUUCAAGUUCACAGGUAUUUUCGGUUAAAUCUUUUGGGUUCUAUUUGUUCUGUUCUCAUUCCCACGUUCUUCCUGGAUCUAGGGUUCGUCGAUUUCACUUCAUCUUCUCGUCAGCUCUUUCUCCGUUCAUCGGCGAACAUUCAUUUCUCUCAAUUCCUUAUGUCAAGUCUCUGGUAUUUUUUGAUUUUGCUUUCUACAGUUUACGUUCUUGCUGUACUUUCUGUAAUUACAUUGAAUCUGGAUGUUCUUUGUAUGUUAAUAGAAUUUCUUCAACUUUCCAUAUCUGAAUAAUGUGUAUUGUCGUUUGUGAAAGUUGAAUCUUAGUUCUUGAAUUUUAUAAGUUUGGUUUAAUUUUCAUAUGGUUCCUGUCUAUCUCAAAACAAUUUUUUUUUUCAGUAUUCAUCUUUCAACAUAUCUGAAUACACAUUCCAACAUUUUUUAUAAUUCCAGACUUUUUCUUUCCGAUUAGGUUCGACUUUUUCCCGUCUCCUCGUUUAUCUUUCUCUCUUGUAUUCCAAUAUCGCUUUCCUUCCUCUUCCGGUUGUCGUUGGACGCGUAAGUCGUUCAUUAAUCUUUUAAUCGGUAAUAUAUAUUUUAUGAAUGGUGGAUCUAUCAAUAUCUUACGAGAUAUCUCAUUUUAAGUAUUUUACAAAAAGCGUAGUCUAAAUAAAUAGAACGAGAUUCAGACGAGAUAGUUUAAAUGAGAUAUUUGAAUACACUCCGUUUCCCGAACGAUACCUCGUACUGGCGUCGCCGGUGAAGUACGUCCGACGGAUGUCGUGAAUUUCCCAUUCUAUGGUUGGGAAUUUUAAGUCAUGAGGUUCCGCAGAUGAUUUUGUCGCUUCCACACGUCACGGCACGUAUCCCUUUGGCUACAAGCCAUCUACGCAUAGCGACAUGGCGACAUUGUGCACCGGUAUGGGUUUGUUUGGUACGGCCGGUCAGAAUAAUGUCGCUUCUACUUCCGACAUCGCGGAAUCGCGGUUCAGUUCGCGUCCGACGGAACCAUCAAAUUGCGCCUGGAAAUCCCCAUGUCGUUCAGUGCGCAUAACCACAUCGCGGAAGGCAGAACCACCUUCCCGAAACUCGCGAUGGGUUUCGUCAUCACAGAACCCAUCUUGAUAAAACAAAACCCAUCUUGAAAUCCGAUCAGAAAUCCAUCAGACCUCAUGAAUCGCGAUUGCAUAGUCUCAGAACCCAUCGUGAUUAAACAGAACCCAUCUUGAAAUCCGAUCGGAAAUCCAUCGGACCUCACGAAUCGCGAUUGCAUAGUCUCAGAACCCAUCGUGAUUAAACAGAACCCAUCUUGAAAUCUGAUCGGAAAUCCAUCGGACCUCACGAAUCGCGAUUGCAUAGUCUCAGAACCCAUCGUGAUGAAACAGAACCCAUCUUGAAAUCCGAUCGGAAAUCCAUCGGACCUCACGUAUCGCGAUUGCAUAGUCUCCUGAACGACACUGUCGACUAUGAAAUCCGAUGUCGGACCACGCGAUGGGUUCCGCGGAACGGGAUUGCAGUUCCGUGAACUCGAUUCCGUUCGUGAUGGAUUCCCGGAACUGCAAUCCCUUUCAACUUCCGGUACCUCACUGCAAUCCCGUAGUUCUCGAAACUCGAUUUACCUGUCCUCGCGAUCCUGUCUGAUUGUGUGACGCAAAAAAAUAAAGUACCUCACCGCAAUCCCGUAGUUCUCGGAACUCGACUAUGCAAUUCCAUACCUCACCGGCGACUAUGCAAUCCCUUUCAAAAAUCGUACAAUGAUACAGUACUAGGUAUGGCGUGACGUCGAAUUGGACACCCCAUACCUGACACAAUCGACCAACGGUAGAGGUUCAUCUAGCCAACGGACGGUUGGAUGUGGUGUCCGUCGGAGGUAUCUCACCGAGUAGGUGUCGUUCCAAAAAUGCUUAAUAUUUGAAUAUUCUCAGCCAUUAAAUGAAUUCUUGAGAUGAUGAACUUAUCUUGAAUAAAAAAAUCAAUAACAAAAAGAAUGAUGGUGUGUGGGCUUAAAACAGGUGCUCACACACAACUCCUCCUACUAUACUUGGUGUUUUCUCUCUUUUGUUUUCAACCUUCCUCCCUAGUGGACCAGGGAGGGUGUUUAUAUGAUGCUUGGAUCUUGUUCUCCUUCUAUACCUCCUUCGGCCCAGGGGUCCUUGGCCGGACCCGGCCUGCAAUUCGUGGUCUGCGUCUAGGUCCGAUCAUAGGUGGUUCGGUCCACAGUCCGUGGUACCAACAAAGAAUUAAAGGAUUGCAAAUCGACAAGGGAUAACUAAAAGAACUUUAAUCAUAAGUCUCCAUACCAACUCAUUAAUCAUAACUCAUUACAUUAAUAAUGAGAUCUGAAUUUUUUCUUAUAUUAUUAACAAACACCACAUGCAAUUCAGACCACAAGCUAUAAGUCUAUGACCACAAAUCCAUCACUUUACAAAUUUUCAAUUUACAUGUCUAAACUCAAGUCCAAAAUCAAGGUUCAUUCACUAUCCCAGAAAAAAAAUCCCUUCAUUAAUUUAAAUUUUAUUUAUACAAGUUUCUAAAGGUGUCAACUAAAGCUAAAGCUUAAGGGUUUCUUAGUAAUUAAAUAAAAUAUAGAUAUUAAUUGAUAAAAACUAUUGAAUAAAUUAUAUAUAAAAAAAUUUAAAUAAAAACAUAAUCUAAAAAAAAAUUAUAUAUAAAUAUAUUUUUAAUUUACAAAAUUGCAAGUUAAAUUUUAAAUUUGAGUCCAAGUUUGUCGAUUUUGCUAACGAGUCCGAGUUCGAGACUGGCCGAUUUCUUAACGAGCUCAGCCGAGCUUAGAUAAUUCUUUAACGAGACGAACUUAAGCUUGACUCGUUUGACACUAUAAUGCAUAUACUGAGACUCGAAUCUUAGACCUUCAACCAUUUUAAUAGUGUCUGUGAGGAUGUCACCAAUUAGAAUAAUCAAGUUUUUUUUACCUAAUAAUAAGUUGUGUAUUGUUAUGUAUUUUUAGCAAUGAAUGGAAGUAGGUGGUUGAUAUUUUGAUUUGGUAUUUAAAAAUGAUCUUCUUUUUUAAACAAAUUUAUAGAUAAAUAAAAUAAAAUAUUUAAAAUAGUCAUCGAAAUUAAUUUUGAGAAAUCAUAUAUUCAAACUUAACCCUACAUGAGACGAUUGGAUGAGAUUUGAAUAAAGCCGAUCGUCGUUUUAUUCCAUUUUGUACGAAUUUGACUUUUUUGUAACGCGUAUAUAUUAAUGUCGUCAACAUCAAAAACACAAUUUGUCAACGUCAAUAGUCAUAAUUAAUCACAUCGUUUACUCACGUUUAGUUAAUUUUUUCACUUUCUAUUAUUAUUUUUAAAUCUCAAAUUUUUAUAAAGUUAAAAUUUAAUAAAAAUAAGUAAAAUUAAAACCAUAAAUAUUCAAAAAUCUUAAUAGUUAUUGAAUUUACUGUAAAAGUUAAAAGUCAGUACCAAAGAGUUGUAAAAAUCUAAAGAUCAACAAUUUAGAUUAACUUCAAAGAGCGGAGUAAGUCACAUGUGAUACUAUCUUUUUUUUUUUGUUUUUAAAUUAAUAAAAUUACCAAAUAAUUUUAUCUAAAAAAAACGGUUAAACUAAUUAAGUUAGUUAAAUUUUUAUUUAGAUUAAAUCUUUCGCAAAAUGACAAAAUUCUUAUAUUCAUAUUCAUUAUUUUCACAUAAUUUAAAAAAUCUAUAAAAAAAAAUUAAAUUAAAUUAAAAUUUUAAAUUGUUAAUUAAUUAUCAUUCGGUGGUCCUCUUCAGUCUCUCCAUACUUGUAAACCAAGUAAUCGUCGAAUAAUCUCACCGGGGGGUUAAAUUAAUGUAUUUGAAAGUCUACUGAAUUUUUAAUAAUAAAAUGAAUUUGACAAUUUCCCACACUGAGGGGUGUCUGUUUCUAGACGAAUAAACAGCUUUUAAAAGCAAACCGUUACACUUUUUUGCCAAUUCCAUUCUCUCGUCUCUGAGAAGAAACUCCCUCCCAAGCUUGCAGGUUCUGCCUGAAUUCAGAUUCAGGCGAUGGAGUUACUGACGGGAUUUGCUCUGUUCUGGCAGCAUCUGAAAGCUUUAACUAGGAAGAACGUUAUCCUUACUUGGCGUAACAAGAAAUCCGCUCUUCUCCAAGUCUUCUCGUCGUUGUUCUUUAUAUUUCUGAUAUUCUGCAUCGAUAGGGCUAUCAAAUCGAGGAUGAAUAAUACGACGACUUAUGAGGACGUGUUUGAUCCCAAGGCGAUCGUUGACCCUCCGAUCCCGCCUUGCGAGGAUAAAUUCUUCACCAAAUUGCCGUGUUAUGAUUUUGUGUGGAGUGGGAAAGAUUACGCGAAUGUCAGACAGAUAGUUGAGGCGAUCAAGAAGAAUAAUCCGGGAAGGACUAUUCCAGAUAAUAAGGUAUGAUGUGGUGUUGUGUGAUUAUUUUUUCUUUUCUUUCAAUUUUAUUUGAUUCUUUCAAUUUUUUGUCGAGGUGUUGUAAUCGUUUUGUCGCGGGUUAUCUUUGAAUUUAUCUUCCUUUGAUAGUCAUUUUUUUUAAAAAAUUUGGUGUUAGGUGUUUUAGUUGGAUUUUCUAAAUGGACUUUAAUUUUUUUUUGUUUCGUUUCAUUGGAAUUUAUGAUUGAUUGAUUGAUUUCCUUAUCUGAAAUUGCAUCGUUUUUUUUUUCUUUCAAAAUUUAUUUUACAAGUUUCUUAAAUCUAAUUUUCUUUCUAUUACUUUUAUUUAACUACUUAGUAUAGACUGCAUAGAUAGUUUAUUUAUUAUGUGAAUCCAAUUAUUGUUGUCGAUUUGUGUGUGGCAUACUUUCAUGUAGUUCUUGCAGUUAUGUCAUGUCGUUUACUCUCUCUUUUUUUCCAGUUUAAGAAGUAGCAAAAAUGAAUACAUUGAAAGUAACAUGUCUUGAAUUUAAUACUUUGUUUGCAUCAUGAUUAUGUGCUUAAACUAACUUUCUCUGAAUUGAGAGAGUAAACUAACUGUUCUCCCCUUUUUAGGUCAGGUCUUUUGGAACAACUGAAGAAGUGGAUGCUUGGCUUGGCGAAAAUCCAAUGACAUGCCCUGGGGCUCUGCAUUUUGAAGAGACGGCUAAUGUUAUAAGUUAUGGUAUUCAAACCAAUUCUACGCCAUUGGCCAAGAGAGGAAAUUUUGAGGACCCUACUUUUAAAUUUCAAGUUCCCCUUCAACUUGCUGCAGAACGAGAGAUUGCAAGGUUUCUCAUAGGAGGUAAACAUUUUACACAAAUUAUGUUAUAUGCACAAAUAUUAUUUUCUUUCAAAUUAUUAUGUAUUCUCAAAGUAAAAAAAAAACUUCCAUCUUUGAAAUAAUAGCUCUGGUAUAUAUGCAGAUCCAAACUUUAGUUGGGUUGUUGGGCUCAAAGAAUUUGCCCACCCUGCUAUAGAAACCUUUUCCGCUGUUGCAACUGCUGGACCAACAUUUUUCCUUGCAAUUGCCAUGUUUGGUUUUGUGUUCCAAAUCAGUUCUCUGGUUACAGAAAAAGAACUUAAACUUCGCCAGGUGUAAACUUAGUUAUUGGUUAAUACUUAUUAAUUAUAAGCUCCCAUUUAUUUGAUACAUUCUAUUUUCUAUCUCUAUUAUUUUACAAUUGUAAUUCAAAUUCCCCAUGUAUGCAAAAAUAAGCUUUACCAAUUUGUCAAUACGCAGGCUAUGUCUAUUAUGGGGCUCUACGAAUCUGCCUAUUGGUUGUCUUGGCUUGCUUGGGAGGCUCUUUUGACACUACUUGCAGCCAUUUUCACCGUCUUGUUUGGAAUGAUGUUUCAAUUCGAUUUUUUCCUGAAUAAUAAUUUUGGAGUAUUAUUCUUUGUUUUCUUUCUCUUUCAAUUGAACAUGGUAAGCUUGAUUAAAAUUUGUUAAUAAAAAAUGAUUGGAAGUUUUUCUGUAUUUUCAGAUUGUUUGUGAUUUUAAAGAUGUGACCAUUAUUUUUUACAGUUGGGGUUUGCUUUCAUGAUAUCAACUUUCAUUAGCAAGUCAUCAUCUGCAACAACUGUUGGGUUUUCAAUAUUUAUAAUUGGGUUCUUGACUCAGGUAUGUAUUGCACCACAGUCGGCUAGUCAAGGAUUUUAGUAGAAUAUUGUAUUUAAAUAAUGUAUUUUGCAGCUUGUUACUGCAUUUGGGUUUCCAUACGAUGAAUCGUAUUCCCAAGUCUAUCGUUUUAUUUGGUCAAUAUUUCCUCCUGAUCUUCUUGCACAAGCCCUUGUUAUCCUUGGAGAUGCAACGUCUACGUCUGAGUCUGAGGGGAUCAGCUGGAGCAGUCGUGGAAAAUGUCCUGUUCGGACCCCUGACUGUGUGAUUACGAUAGUAUGAUCUCAAAGACCCAAACCUCAUAAUUUACAAUGAUAUCAAAAUAUUUUUGAAUUUCUUAUUUACUUUCUCAUAUUUGGGUUUUUUUCUUCCUUUGAACAAAAUAGAACGACAUCUACGUGUGGCUCAUAUCCACAUUUUUUGUGUGGUUCUUCUUAGCAAUUUACUUGGACAAUAUAUUGCCCAAUGCAAAUGGCGUUAGAAAACCAGUAUUUUACUUUUUAAAACCCUCAUACUGGACAGGGAAUGGUGGCGGAAAAGUUGAAGGUAUGUUUUCGUUGUCCAAAAUAAAUCUCAAUUCCGUGAUAUAUUCUAGGUCAGUAAUAUUUGUGGAAUACUUAAAUUUUUAUCCGCAGAAGGAGGCAUUUGUAGUUGCAUGAGUUCAACUCCAGCAGUUGAGAUUGUCACUCCAGAUGAUGAAGAUGUCAUUGCAGAGGAAACAGCUGUGAAACAACAAGUAACUGAAUCAGAUUUAGUUCCCAAUGUCGCUGUUCAGAUACGUGGUCUUAGGAAAACUUAUGCAGGCACGACGAAUGUUGGUUGCUUUAAGUGCAAAAGGACACCACCAUAUCAUGCCGUUAAGGUCAGAAAUAAAUUCAUGGUUGGAGUUUAGAACCAUCCCAUGUGUUUGUAUGUGUUUUAUUUUUUAAUUUAUAAUGAAACUCAUUGUUUUCUUUAUUUUUUAAAUCAGGGAGUUUGGGUGAAUUUUGAAAAGAAUCAGCUCUUCUGUCUUCUUGGGCCUAAUGGAGCUGGGAAAACAACAAUAAUCAAUUGUAUGACUGGUAUAACACCAGUUUCAGAUGGAGAUGGUAAGUAUUUUAAUUUUCUAAUCCAUCUCGAUUUUAACUUAAUAUUUCUGAUAUGUAAAUAAUAAGAGGAAAGAUACUCACUAGUAUACGGAACUUCUUUCAGCACUUAUUUAUGGAAAUUCCAUUCGUAGCACAGUUGGUAUGUCCAACAUCAGAAGGAUGAUUGGUGUUUGCCCUCAGGUAUUCAAUAAAAUGACAUGAAUCCUGCAUUUUUUAAUAUUAGGAGAUUAAAUAACAAUAUUGAUCACAUAUGUUCUAUAUUUGUUUACGUGUUUUCAGUUUGAUAUUCUUUGGGAUGCACUAUCUGCUCAGGAGCACAUACAUUUAUUCGCUAGCAUCAAAGGCUUGCUACCAUCUACCAUUGAAUCAGUAGGGGACAGUGAUCUAUAUUGUUUCUGUUUAAAAUUCAAUAAAUUUUAUAUAUUUUGCCUAAUGAAGUGUUUUCUUGGAAAUAGGUGACUGAAAGCUCUUUAGCAGAAGUCAAAUUGACAGAAUCAGCCAAGGUUAGAGCAGGAAGCUACAGUGGAGGGAUGAGGCGCCGACUCAGUGUUGCAAUCGCUCUUAUUGGAGAUCCUAAAUUGGUUUUCUUGGAUGAACCGGUACAUAAAAAAUAAGCAAUGUGCAUUUUUUAUAAAAACUAAGCAUUGUUUACUAGCAUUAUUAUUUAAUGCAGUUUAUAGUUUUUAUAGUGUGUAAAGGUCUAAAGGAUCUAUGCUGUGUGCAUUUUACCUUUUUCUGAAUAAUUUUUUUUUAUAAAGAGCUAUUGAUUUAAAUGCAGACGACGGGAAUGGAUCCAAUUACUAGAAGACAUGUAUGGGACAUCAUAGAGGAAGCGAAGAAAAACCGUGCUAUAAUUUUAACAACCCAUUCAAUGGAAGAAGCUGAUAUUUUGGGUGAUCGCAUAGCCAUCAUGGCUAAGGGAAAACUGAGAUGCAUUGGAACUUCAAUAAGAUUGAAGUCAAGGUUUGGGACUGGGUACAUUGCUAAUGUGAGUUUCUUGAGUAAUUCUGCUGGACAGACAGAAAAUGUUAAUGGUGAUACCGAUUUCACUAGCAUUGGUCAGGUUGCACAAGUGAAGGAGUUCUUCAAAUCUGUAAGUAAAUCAUUCGUAAUUGUGGUUUAAUUAGACUCAAUAUAUUGAUUAAUGACAAAUGAAAUUUACUUAAAUGACAGCAUUUAAAUGUGGUGCCUAAAGAAGAAAAUAAAGGAUUUUUGACUUUUGUGAUUCCUCAUGUUAAAGAGGGGCAGUUGACAGUAAGUCAUUAUUUUUAUAGUUAUUUUUACUCAUGCAAACUUCAUUAUUUAUUGAUACCGUUUUGUUUCCUCAUCUAUUACAGAAAUUCUUUGCUGAACUUCAAGAUAGGGAGAAAGAAUUUGGAAUCUCAGAUAUUCAACUUGGUCUGACCACACUGGAAGAGGUGUUUCUUAACAUAGCGAAAAAGGCCGAAUUAGAAACUGCCACUGCAGAGGGAAGCAUGGUGACGCUUAAUGUGACCUCCGGAACUUCAAUUGAGGUUUUUUCCCCAUCCCCUCUUCUUGUUCUUUUUACAAUCCAAAUUGAGGUGUCUUCUUUAAUCCCGAAUAUAAAUUUUAAUGUUACAUGCAGAUACCAAAAGGAGCUAGGUUUGUUGUUCUCCCUGGAACAGUAUCUGCAGAAAAUCCCAGUGGUCUCAUGGUUGAAGUGUUUUGGGAACAGGAUGACUCUGGAAAUCUCUGCAUUUCUGGUCAUUCAGAAGAAACUCCAACACCUUCACACAUUCAUCCUGUAUUCAGUGAAACUGGUCCACAGCGAUCUUUAUUUGGUGGUAGCACACUUCCUGUAGGAUUUGUUGUUAAUCCAGAUGAAAUCAACGAGCAUUAGAAAUUUAGAAUAUGAGAAUAUUUAUACUGUCAAUAAUAGUCUGGAAUUUAUAACAAACAUGAAUCGGUUAUCGGUGUAUAAUAUCUUAAUUUUUUUCAUAAUUUUUAUAGAAUUACAAGUUUACAACAAAAGAAUAAUACUGAAUUAAUUUCAUUUCAUUUAAAAGUUAGAACAUCUUCCUAGUACCCUGUUUUGAGUGCAUUUAUAAUUUCUUUUGGAAUGUUUUUAGCGUAGAAAUUAAAAACUAUAAUAUUGCGAUAUUUAUUUGAAAAUACACUCCUAAGAGGUUUGGAUCAGAAAUCGACCAUGUUGAUAUAUGACUGAACGCCAGUUACUCUCAUCAACGUCCCUCAAUAGUGACUUGGGCUCCGUUCGUUAUAUGUCAGACCCUCGGAAGUCUCCCACGAUUGCGAAACAAUGAUCUUCGUCAAGUCGUCGAGUUGAACUAGUGAAUCGUCGACUUGGGCUGCCAAAUCGUCGAGUUGAGUGGUAAAUCGCUGAGUUGAAACCGAAAUCGCCAGCAUUGGCAGGUUGCCGAUCUCACCCCUUUGAACUCUCCGACCCUGCCACUAAAUCGGCGAUUCUCCCCCUAAUCGCCGAUUAUACACAUCUAAUCGCCGAUUUCUUCCGAAAGAUUUGACGUAAAGCGCGCGUCGUAGACUCCAGAGCCUCCGGCAUCACCUCGCACCACCGCCAGCCCUGGUAGAAAUUUCCGUGCUUCAUCAGACCCCAAGAAGAGUGUAUGCAUCUUUUGAUCUCCAGGAAGCCUUCGAUUCCAUUAAUUGGCAAGCAAUCAAGGACACUCUACGAGGUAUGAACAUAAAAUCUCGCUUAAUUUCAAUUAUAAUAGAUUAUGUUACAUCUACCGGAAUCUCAAUCAAUCUCGAUUGAGGGAACUCCAACAAAAGAAUUUCGAGGUGUCCGUAGGGGCCUUGAUCCAUUAUCGCCAAUUUUGUUCAUCAUGAUUCAUUGAUUCUUAAAGUGUUAUCACAGACUUACAUUAUGGGAGGAGCAAAAUCACUGACACAUCUCAUAUUCGCCGAUGACUUGCUAUGGUUUGCAAAACCUAUGGCACGAAGGGAGCUUCGUGUGGGAGAUUGUCAGAUAAAAUCAGAUUCAAUUUUACCAACGGGACGACAAAAAACUUAUCAUAUGCAGGUAAAUUCAAAUGAUAAAAGGUGGGUGAUAUAUGGAAAACUCAAUUUCUGGUUCCAAGGCUUGAUCCUUCCAAAAUUGAUUCUGGAUUAAGUCCGCAAGAUUAUCUAUGGGUUUGUGUUGGGAAGGAAGAAAAGGAAUAAGUUGGCGUCACAUGGUUCAAGGUGAUUGAUGGUGUGUGUGUCAAAGGUUGGUGUUCACAUACGCAAAACUCGUUCCAAUAGUAAUAAGUCGAGCUCUCUGAGUAUAAAUGACGCUCCUCUAUUAUAAGUGGAACUUUCUUUAUGGUUUCUCUGUGGUCAAGAGAGGGUAGUUAUACUACUCUAGUCUCUACGGACCGGGCCUCUUGACUUGUGGUCCGCUUCGACCCGUGGGCCCAUAGUAUCAUGCAGUUCAUUGGCCCAGUUAUUGGACCAUGGUACCAAAAGUGACAAAGAUCUGUUGGCUGAAGGAGUGUGGACAUGUAAACCUUCCAAGAUGGUGGUGAUGCUUUGGCGGCUGAGAUGGAACAAGAUUUACACUUUUAACAAACUUAAAUUUUGAGGGCUGACGGUGCCAAAAAAAAGUAUAUCGGUCGGAUUAGGGCUGAACAAAUGUCUACUCUCAGGGCCCUCAAAACAAACUUAAAUCCAACGGGAAUAUCUAUAGUUAAACUGACUGUCUAUAGUUUAACUAUCUGAUUAACAACUUAUUGGUUACUUAUGAUAGAUCAAUUAUCAUUUAAUUCACUACAAAAAAAAAGUCACCUUGUAUGGUAGACAGGAUUCCCCCACGGAUAAUUCUGUACUUUUGGUGACGGAAAUCAGUUCUACUUAUAAUCCGUCACAAAAGGAUGAGGGUUUAAUAAAAAAACAUCCCCAAAUCUACAGACCAGGUCUGUCGAUUUUUGAGAUUUCACGCAAUGUCAUCUGUGACGUAUUUCCCCCACAAAUAGUUUUCACGAAAAUGUAGAGCAUUGGUGGCGGAUUUCCACCACUGGUAGUCUUUUUGGUGAAAAUUUUGGAGAAAGAAUUGACGGGCUUCUCUUGGUGGUUCAACACUUUCGUGACGAAAUUCCUCCACUGAUGAUUUUUUUCAUAGUUGUUCAUCUUUUUUUUGUAAUGGGAUGAAAGCAGAGGUGGGAAAAAUCUUAAUAGAGUUUGUAAAAAUGGUGAAAACCUAAUUUUAAACUCAAAUCAAACAAAUUAGGUCAGACAAUGGUUUCAAAUCCACAAAAUUAAGCAAUUUUUUAUAGAGAAAAUGACAUUUUACAAAAAAAUUCAUGUCCUCACUCCCUACAACAAAAUAGUAGAGUAGAGAGAAAAUACAAAGAUUUAUUAAACAUGGCUAGAGGAUUAAAACGGCAAGCUUCUUUGCCAAUAAAAUUCUGGGGUUUAUGCAUACUAGCAUCUUAUUGGCAAAGGGUAUUAAGAGUAUGAAAGUGAGGUUUUGGUGACGGAUAACGGCCGGUUAUAAUAAUUCAAAUACACAUGUAAACAUAAGUGUAAUUAAUGCAUACGAAGAUAUAGCAAACAAUUCAGAUAUGGACAUCUCUUCUUAAUCUCAAACAAAAAAAAAGACAGGAAAUAAUCAUCAAAAUGAAAAUUUGAUGAAUGACUCAAGCAUUAGUAUUUCAGCUUACAAUGAAAGUUCUAAACGACAAAAUACCAACUAUAAAGAUACAUAUGAUUAACAUAUGAUAUAGGUAGAGUAAAAAAUAUGAAAUAAAAAUAAUGUAGGUAAAUUUUAGGAUUGAAGGGCAAAUGUCUAUCUACCAAAGUCUAGUUCGAGUUUGGGAGGAGUAGUAUGUUCACUCCGUCUUUUUUUUUAUGUCUUGAAAUCAAUAAAAUUGUCAACUUAUUUCAAACUCAAAAAAAAUCUUAACAGCAAAAUAUACAAUAAGAAGUACAGAUUUAUCAACAAGUUACAAGGGGAGGAAUACGACAGUAGACAUUCCACAUGAACAAAUGUUCUAACCAGAAGUCUUACGCCGGCCAUAGCAGGUGGGGGUAUAGGGUGCAUGAUAAAGGAAAUACAAGUUAACUAAGAGCAAUUAACUUGUAUAAACACAAUCUCUGUUUGCAGGACCUAAUUGACAUUUCAGAUGGAAGAUCAUUGUAUAGGAAAUAACCCAAACGAGUGUGUGAGAUACUGAAGAAACUUAAGGCGAAAGUGCAAAAGUUUCAUGAAGUCCCACACGGUGAUAAACAAGAAACUUAAGGUCCAAGUUGCAAAGUUUCCAAUUAAACUUAAUGGAUCGACUAAUUCACGCAUGGGCUACAACAGUUGGGCCAAAGACCAAUUAACUUAGCAAAUAUUUGUAAUAACAAAUAGUUAAUUAGCUAAGUUAGUUAGGGUUGUAAUUAGUUUAAAAGACCAAUUAACUUAGCAAAUAUUUGUAAUAACAAAUAGUUAAUUAGUUAAGUUAGUUAGGGCUGUAAUUAGUUUAAAAGGAAACCAUUGUGACUGGAAUUAAUUAAGUUAAUUACAUUCAAAUUGUGAUUAAUAGAAAAUACUAUUCUAAUCUCCCUCCAACGGCUUCUAGGCGACAGUUAAGUCGCAUAACCCUAGAAUCCGCCCCAAUCUUGCGCUACUCCACUUCUACUCAAUUCCUACCAUCACCUGAGCAAUUGAAUCCGGUAGCAGCCAAGCGAGUAGGAGAUUUAACAAUUUCUACCAACUUGUAGGUAGAAUUGAGUUUGGCCAUUUCCUGCGCAAUUGUAAUAUUGCUGUUAAUUCCUAUCAUUUGGAUGACCUAGUUGGUCGUUACAUCGGGAAUUAUGAGUUUAGGCUCAUAAUUCCUGAUGUAGGGUGUUAUCCUUCGAUUAAUUUUGAGAAACUUUUUCUUCCUUGGUGUCGACAAAUCGUGGUUGUGAACGUCGUUUAAGAUCGAUAUCAUCCAUUGAUCUCCUACAAUCUUGAGAGACAUUAGUGCCCUGCAACCAGUUCUCGGAUUUCUGAUGUGUCUUGACUUCGUUGAUUUCUCUAAAAGAUUCUGUAUUGUAGGAUCGAUUGCUUGAGAAAUGCCUUCCUUGGAGCAAGCGUAUGUUUUCUUCCGUAGUCCUUGUUUAAAAUGUCUUGUUGAUCCUUUCCAACUGAAAAACCCUUCUGCCCCGCGUAUUUGUAGUACAUUUCCUUUGCCUCUUCAUUUGAAUCGAACAUCAUGCCGAUUUUUGGUUUUUGGGUUUGGCUACAAACAUUUUUUCACGAGAGGCAUAUAAUCAUGAAAUACAAUGAUGAUUUUUAUUAUGUUUGUAUAAAAUUUGUAUAAUUGAAGAACCAUGGCCUCGUUCUUCAAUUACUGGAUAGCUGUAUCGAUAUUAUAAAAAUGAUUAUUCAUUUUCAGGUUUUUUUGGUAACUAUAAUGUUCAUAAUUGAAAGUAAACAUUGAUGGCAUUAUAAGGAACAGAACACGACAUGUCAGACAAACCUAAACGUUGUUUGCAGGCUAUCGUUAACCUCCUGACCCAAUACAGUAGUAAUAUCGCUUAAAUCUGUUGUGCCAAAAUGAAAUAUAUGUAGCAAUUGCAGAACAAGAAUAUUUUUUAUAUAUCGACAAAAAUUCAUACUAAGGUUAAUGUCUUGUGCGGAAGCCACGUUUACCUAUGAUGAUACUAGAAAAUGACAGAGCAAAUCUACUAAAAUCCGGAAAAAGGAUUAAAGUAUUAGUUGUAAGUCGUUUAAAUUGUACCUCUGAUAUACUAAUAUCCAUGUCUUCCGUUGACUACAGGUUCCUUUGAUUAUUGCCAAUCGCGGAUUAAAUUACUUUACGUUCUUACUGCAAUUUACAUUGAGAAAAUGAAAUCAUAUCAUAAUUCAGCGAUGUUCUAUGAUUUGGAUUUCGAGAAAUUCAUAAAAUGUUUUCGGGAAAAAUAAAUGGUUGCAAUUCUAUAUCUUCAACAAUCUAAGAUCAUUAUGUUACAAAAUUGUUUGUCAAAAAUAUAGACUUUUUCAGACUAAAUUUACAGACAUGUAGUUGGACAUGUUUAUCUGAAUGUGAAAAAAUUAUUCCUCGCAAAAGUUAAUCAAAAAAUCGUUUUAUUCACUCAAUGCAGACAUGUAAUGGUCCACUUGAAAAGCCUAAACUAAUCACACUAACUACUGUGUCAGAUGUUGGUAAAUUAUCAUAGUAAAUCAUUUUUACCUCAUUGCAUUCCUUUACAAUUUACAUACCAAAAUUGUGCUCUAAUUCUGCAUCCAUUGUCUAUGAGGUCUAAUUCUGCAUCCAUUUCAAAAUCCACAAUUCAAUGGCUAUGAGGUUUAAAAUCUGUUUCAAUUAAAUGAACAAGGUGUCUAGUUCAGUUCUAAUGCUCAAUUGAUUUUUACUUGAAAAAUCUAGGCCAACUAUUAUUUUCCUGUUGCUACCAUGCUUCAACCACUUCUCCAUAGACUAAAAUUAGUAUAAAUCUUACAAAUAACAUGGAAUGUUUGGAAAACUACACCUAAACAGAUUGAGAAAUCGUUUGAUUUUCAUCGAAAACAGGAAUACAAUAACAUCAUGGUGUAGUCCUUGCACUACAUUUCAUUUAGUACCUAAGUUCAUACAAAAGUUCUUAACUACUUCCCCAGACAUUUUAAUCCAUUCAAUGACACUACUCCCUAUGUGGUGGAGUGUUGAAUGACUUAUGCCACCAAUCCAUCCAUUCAUCAGGAUCAGGGAUAUCUAAUACCCUGUAGGACUCCUCCACAAAAUCUUCAUCAUCCUACACUGGUUCAGGCGCAAUCGGCAUCAAUGGUAUGAAGUUAGGAUGAUUCAUAGGUAUAUUCUGAAGACACCAUGCACAUUGAUUUAGUGAGGAGAAUCCAGUUUUUCUGUGAGGUUGCGACAGACGAGAUUGAGACAACUGGAUAGGUUCUUCAAAGAUGGGCUGAUGAAUUGGUGUUGCAUUAUUCAUUGCCAUUGGUGGAUAUGGAUCAAGACGUCUAUGCAGUACAGGCACUGGGUCUCCUCCUGAUGACUGACCUCUCUGCAGAGAAUUUUUUCUCUUAAAAGGCCAGUAUCCCCGCAUUUCAGAUACACCUUUACCUGAGGGAGUUCAAGUUGGAAUAUGCUUGGAAGUAUUGUGUUUCGGAAGAGGACAAUCAGCUACAGUGCCAUCCUUCGACUCAUCGUUACUAAUGACGAUAAUUUCCUUCAUUUUCCUUCUCGUCCUUGCAACAUGAUUGGUCUCCUCCGCGCUUCUUUUCCUUGAACUCAUUAGAAAACUAAAAACCUCCUAAUCAAUAUUUGUCAACUAUAUGAAUUUGUAAUAACAUGCCAUGAAAAAAAAAUCAGGAAUACAUGAGACUAAAUGUGAGAAACAGGGGUACAUGGGAUUUGAAUAAAUGUUAUCAACUGUAGCAGAAAUGUAAAAAUAUUUGAUUAUAAAUGGCUGGUUCUAGAUCAAAUUAGGUGAUGGGAAUGCUAAACUAUUAUCAUAAAAACUAUGGAUAAUUAGAAAUAUCAGUCAAAAUUGGUAGUCCGACUUUGAAAAAAAACAGACACUUGAGUUGUUUAUGAACAUGUCGACCAAAAUUAAUAUCGACUAAGUCAGAGUUGAAAAAAAACCUUCCGAUGAGGACGAUGGGUUGAAGAUGAUUUGUUGUAGUCGGAAGACCUCUCUUCGUUGAUGAAUGGAUGAGGAGAUUGUUGAAAAUAUGAGAUUGUACUUCCCUAUUUAUCUGUGAGGAAGAGCAGCGCCGAAGCCGGGAGGAAUUGCUCGCCAGCCGAUGAGAAAUCGUGAAAAGAGGGGGAGAAAUUAGGUUUAUUCGUAUAACCUAAUUUCAAUGUUAGUUACUACUGUAGUAGUAACUGGAGAUUAGAGAGAGAGUAAUUGUGUAAUCAAAUUGUAUUAUCAUUAAUGUUAAUUACACACAUUUUAUAUUAAUACAAGAGUUAUCAACUCAAAUGACUAACUAACACUAACUACUAACACUUUCGAUCUUACUGGACUAAUUCAACCAUUACGGCCCCAAUUUCUUUCUUUGGCCCAUCGAGAUAUUUAUUAAAAUAUUUGCAGCUUUGUCCCUGCAUUUUAUUUCCUUUACUUUCUUGACAAACCUGCAUACCUGUGUUUUAUCUAAUUCACACAUUAGUCCAGUCAGUGUUAAUUAAACUCUGUUAUGUAGUGUUAAUUAUUACUUCUUUUACUCCCCCCUCAAGCUCUGGAAUAGAUAUUUAUAAUUCCAAACUUGACAGAGGUUGAAGUAAUUUCAUUCUCUCCCAUAGGUUUAGUGAACAUGUCUGCCAAUUGGUACCUUGUUCCAAUUUUCUUAAGGCAUAAUGUUCCUUGGGUAAUUAGUUUUCUAAUGAAAUGACAAUCUAUCUCGAUGUGUUUUGUUUUUUCAUGAAACACAGGGUUAUUAGCUAGAUUGAUUGCUGAUUUAUUAUCGCAAUAUAUUAUCAUUUUAUUAUUAGUUUUGAUUUUCAUUUCUUUGAUUAACUGAUGAAUCCAUAUUACCUCACAGGCUGUUUGAGCUAUUGCUCUGUAUUCAGCCUCACAUGAGGAUCUUGAUAUCAUUGCUUGCUUCUUGGAUUUCCAGGAUAUGACUGAAUUUCCAAUUAAAAUACAGAAGCCAGUUACUGACUUCCUGCUGAUUUGGCAUCCUGCCCAAUCAGAGUCGCAAAAGGCAUGAAUGCUUAGGUCUUCACUAUUUUUGUAUAAGAUGCCUUGUCCUGGUGCACCCUUUAGAUAUCUCAGUAUUUUAAAUAAUGCUUUCAGAUGAACCUCCUUUGGUUCACUCAUGAACUGGCUAAGCCAGUGAACUGCAUAACUCAGGUCAGGCCUGGUGAUGUUGAGAUAUAUAAGUUUGCCAACUAGUUUUCUAUAAAAGGUUGGGUCUCCAAUCUGUUUGGAUUCACUUUUAAGGUCUAUAUUUCUUUCCAUUGGUAUUUUGGAUUCUUUUGCUCCUGAUAUGUCACUUUCUUCAAGUAUUUCUAGUGCAUAUUUCCUUUGAGAUAAUAGGAUUCCUUCACUAGAAUAGGAUACUUCUAUUCCUAAAAAAUAGUUUAGUUUCCCAAGAUCUUUCAAUUUAAACUUAUUUUCUAAUUGUAUUUUAAGGAUGCUUAUUUCCAUUUCAUUGUUACCUGUAAUGAUUAUAUCAUCCACGUAGACAACUAAGUAUACUAUGUUUUCAUUUUUCUCUCUUAUAAAGAGAGAGUAAUCUGAUUUGGUUUGUAUGAAGCCAAAAUCUAGUAGUGUGUUUCUUAACUUCUCAAACCAAUUUCUAGAGGUCUGUUUAAGGCCAUAUAAAGAUUUGUUAAGUUUGCAUACUCUCUUGUCUCCUUCUAAAAGUAGGCCUUGGGGUGGCUUUAGGUAUACUUUCUCAUGGAGAUCACCAUGAAGGAAAGCAUUAUUAACAUCAAUUUGGUAUAGGUUCCAUCUCUUUUGUGCUGCAGUUAAUAUUCUUACUGUUGUCAUUUUUGCAACAGGUGCAAAAGUUUCAUAAAAAUCCAAUCCUUCCUUUUGAGAGAAGCCUUUGGCUACCAACCUUGCUUUAUAUCUCUCAAUUUCUCCAUUUGGUUUGUAUUUGAUUUUGUAUAUCCACUUGGAUCCUACUACCUUCCUUCCUUUGGGAAGUUCAGUCAUGGUCCAAGUGUUGUUUGAGAUGAGAGCUUCCAUCUCUUUCUUCAUUGCAUCUACCCAUUUUGGGUUGUUUGAUGCUUCAUUGAAUUAUGUUGGUUCAAUAUUUUUAUUGAUUUGUUAUAGGAAUUCCUUAUGUUUAUCGUUUACCCUAUGAUAUGACACAUAAUUGCUCAUAGGGUAUUUGGUUUUCUUUGAUGGAUCAUCAUCCAUAUGAAAAUCCUCAAAAUCUUUAGGCUUGGUUAUUAAUCUGCCCAGCAUUGUUUGUUUUGGAUUUUUAGUUGUUAUAGUUUUAGAUUUAUCAUUUUUAGUGUUUUGAUCUUGAUUUUUAUUAUCAUGAUUAUUUUCAUGUUUUUCUGUAUUUUAUUGGCUGUUAGAACUUUGAAUUGAAACCUCUUUAGAAUUACUCUGUAUUUCUGAGUUGUUUAAAUUUGCUUGUUGUUCUGGAUUCCAGCAUGGUGUGUUCUGUGGUAUGUUUAUGGUGAGACAUGUCUGAUUACGUCAGUCACUCCCAGCAACGCCCCUCAACAUGGACUAGGGUUCCGUCGCUUUACGCCGAACCCCUGGAAGGCAUCCACGGUGCAGAGCAAGUAUCUACGUCAAGUACUCAAGGCAACACCUGGGAAUCGACGACUUGGCAAGGGGUGAUUCGCCGACUCCAGACAAGGCACUCGGGUCUGGUAGACCGAGGACCUGACCACAAGGGAGUCGCCGACUCCACCUCUGAAUCGGCGACUCCCAUACCUGAGUCGUCGAUUCCCAACCGUUACUUGGGAGGGCCCACGUCAUUAUGGCAUCCUUAAUUGGACACCAUAAUGGAGUGGGCCCCACGCUAAUGAAUGGGGAAACGCCCCCAGGACCCUAUAAAAGGGGUCCUUGGGGGUCCUCCACUCCCAAGUCAUUCCCACUUGACAACACUCCACACUAGAGCAACCAAGGAGCCCGAGUCGCCGACUCUCACGUGAGUCACCGAUUCCCCUCCACUUCUGCAGGUAUUUGACGUAGAGCGCACGUCGUGGACUCCAAAGCCUCCGUCCCUCCUCGCAACCCCACGAGCUUACUGGUAGCAGAUUUCGUGCAUCAUCAGUUUAUAAUGUUUAUAUCAGUUUGAUUUUCAUUACUUUUGUCUGAUAUAAACUGUUUUUCCAGUGUAUUUUGAAACUGACCAGACUGGUUAUUUCCAGUUAUACCUGGUCUGUUUUCAAGAAUGCAUCCAGAGUCUGAAUUUUCAUUGGUUCUAUCUGAAAAAACUUUGUUUUUCAUUUGUAUUUUUGUUCUGGCCAGACUGGUUAUUUUCAGUUAUACCUGGCAUGUUUUCCAAAAUAAUUCUAGACUGAUCUGGAUUUUUAUUUUUAAUUUUUUUCUGUUAUUUCCAGACUUGAUAUUGCCUUGGGUUGAUGUUUAUUAAAUAUUUCUUACAAUGGAAAAAUAUUAUUUAUUUUGUUUUGUUGGUUUUUAGGUAUUGUUUGUUGAAAUGGGAAAACAUCUUCCCUAAAGACAACAUCUCUACUUAUGUAAAAUUUCUGAUUUUCUAAACUGAGUAUUAGAUAUCUUUUUAUAUUGGGAGGAUAUCCCAUAAAAACUCCCCUAAAAGUCCUUGGAGAAAACUUAUGUUCUUUGUUGUGUAUUGUUGCAUAACACAUACACCCAAAUGUUCUUAAGAAUUUAUAUUUUGGUUUUCUUUGUAUAGAAUUUCAAAUGGGGUCUUAUUAUCUAGGACUUUAGAUGGAAUUCUGUUUAUUAUGUAGGUUGCAGUUAAGAUACA
rnacentral:lncRNA from 1 species